UUUAAAGGCUGAUAGGUGAGGUUCUUAUGUUACAUCUUCUAUUUUUUCGGAGAUACAAAGUGCUAAUAACAAAGCGCUAUAUGACUCCCAACCAGGAUUUUUGUUCCUUCUGUAACUUUUCCCGAGCUAAGGCUGAUUGUUUUGGGUGAAGAAGGAAAACAAAAUAUAGAGGUCGCUGAUUUGGGACUCAGUCUUGAGAAGCUCAUGAGUUAUUGCUUGCAUGCUUGAUAUAAGGAAGUAUUAGGACUAUAGACGAAACAACCUUAGGAGGAGGCCAAACAUGAGAGCUAGGUUGUUCGAUCUGGGAACAAGUACGAUGCAUGCUUGAUGUCUACACAGUAGUGUAUAUCUUGGUUCAUUUCAUUAUUGGUCCUAACCUCACGGGGGGUUUAUACCAGGAUGAUUUGAUUUCAAGCUCCAAUGCCAUUUGUACUCACGUUUGAACUCUGGUAUCUUGUGUGUCUUCCCACCGUGCAAGUUCCCGUCGUGUUAGUUUCCUUUCAGCACGUCAUGUUUAGUCACAAUAAGAGAAUCUUCUCCGGAAUGUAAUAGUGUGUCUUCUUUCCAUCUAAGUUGUAUGCCAUCAUAAGAUAGUUAUGAAUGCAAAACUUUUCUCUUUAAUUGCCUUGUGGGAUGGUUACAAUGCAGCUUUUUUCCUAUAAUUGCCAUGUGAUGAAAAGAGUGUACAUGCAAGAUAUUCCAAUACAUACAACGCGGGGUUCGCUAGUAAAUAAAUCUAAAGAUGAUGGCCAAAAACAAGCAGACUAAAUUCCUGUACUUCCAUAGCACAUCGUACAAUACCAUGUAAAGCAUAAAUCCUAUGACAAGAUGUUUACCAUAACAGGUUACAGGAAAUACGAAACAGCUAGAACAGGAAUCAGUGUUAACCUGGAAGACAACUAACUCUCUGCUGGAACUGCUCCAUCUCCCUAAUAACUUUUGUUAAACACCAAAGCCAAUUCACAUAAUCGCUGGUGCUUCUGAAGCUGCAGGAAAAGGGGGUUAGAGUGGAGAUGAUGCUUAAAUUCAGAUUGUUAGUAAAGAGGAUCCAUCACCUUGACCUAUCAGCAUACCCACAUGGCCUCUUCUAUCUAACUCUUUCAUUCCUGAGAUGAUACAAUUAAUACAUCUUUUUUGAACAGACCCUACCAAAUAUACCUAGAAAAGGGGCAUGCAAGCAACCAGUGGCACAUAAGACCAACAGAAAAUCAACAGCUGGCAUCCCAUACAAAUGACUGCAUCUUGCCGACAGCAAACCACUACAACUACAGUCCAACGAAUAAUCUUUAUAAAUCACAUCUGGAACAACAUUGGCUUGUUUCGUAGCUCCAACAUGGCACAUGUGAGUAGUUCGAACAAGCAAAUCAGUAGGUCACUUGUAGGACAUAUAGCAGAGACGUAGAAAAGGAAUAGGUCCACCAUAAUCCAGAUAAGUGACAAAAAUCCCCAAUUCCAAAGGGUGAGGAAGCACAAAAAUACAAGCAGAAAAUGAUACUGCUCUUAGAUGCCAGGCUUCUACCAAUAAGAGCACAAGGAAGAUACACGGCUGCAAGAACGCAAGCACAGGCCUGGAGAGAUGAGAAGAGAAGGAGAAAAGGGGUCGACCUGCAGAGCGGUGACUGAAGACGCGGCAGGAGGAACCGACCAGAACCACGAGCACCCGCACACAGUGGACCAACCUGCACGGGAAAAGAAGCAAAUCAGGGAUGAGCUUCAGGUAACCAGAACUGAACGGUCAAGAACAAACAAGCACGUACAGAUCGAGGAACACAGAAACAGACCGGCGCACAAGCAGCAAGAACGAGUACACAAGGACAAGGCGAGGGGGAUGGGCUCACCUCAGAUCCUCUUGUCCAACCCUGUGGAGGCGCCCUCUGGUGCUGUUGUCAGACAGCUCGUGCUCGCCCUACCGUGUGAUUAUUGAGCGCCGAGGAGGAGGUCGACCGCCGCAGCCAUGCGGCCCAGCGACAAGAGGCCACGGGAGGAGAAGGGUGGGAGCAUGGCAGCGGCGGCAGCUGAAAGUGCGAAGGGGAGGGGCACGAGUGCGAGGCGAUGGCUAGGUUUCGUCCGGCGCUGGUUUUUAUCCCUUGCGGUGUAAAAACGGCCGGCCUUGAUAAGGGCACGUCAGGUUGGCAGAUUGCAUGGAACGGCUCAAAUAUCCAAAUAGCUGAGAAGCGGCCGGCUCCUGCACGAAUCAAGAAUUGGGAUGGCAAGUAGUGCGGAGCAAUGGUUUGCAAACAUUCGAUGUGCAAACUUGUGUAAAAUAUAUAUUUUCUUCUUAACAGUUUAUAUAUGAGAAAUGCAUAUCAUGAUUUAAUUCGUAAACCACCUUUGUAACACUCCAUUAUAGUAAAGAUAAUGAGAAGUUGCCCAAAAUUAGUAGCAAUUAAUUGGUUGCAAAGGUAAAAUAGUUACCCUAAGGAAAUUUAAUCAGUGCUACAACACACAAGAGUGGAAGAAGAUCUGUUUUGUGUUGCAGCUGAGUUAAUUGUGAUUCUAGAGAUGAUCAUAUGAAUGUGCUAGUAGUCAACUCCUUGUACAGUAAAAAUGCUAGGAUAGGCUUACAAUAGAUUAGAAAUGUUAUCGAUGUUUCAUUGGCUCCCAUAUCUACCAUUUGCAAGGUCUGGGUGAAAUUACUGGAUUAUUUACCAAAGUACAUUUUCACAAAUUUCGUUGCACAUUACUGAACACUGUGGUAACAUCAUGUGUUGCUUCUGCAGUCUGAACCAAAGAACCAUCUAUAAAUUUAUUAAUUAACAGUGAUGCUUCUUUGCAUUAAGCAAUAACAAAUGUUAAGAAAAAUCUACAUUAACGACAGACUUCAUGCUAACUAAAAUGAAAGUUGUUAAACUGUAUCCAUUCUAUGUCAGACAGCCACACACGCAACCUAACCUGAUUUGAUCUUGCAUCAACCCCAUAGAGGCGUACGAACAAUGAAUGCAUCAACCUCAUAUGGAUGCAGUGACAGCAAGUAACUCAGAUGAACACCAAUUUAUUUAAUCCCUCUUGCUUGUUGAGUAAAAAAGUGCAUGCUGCUGGCGUGAAUAUGAGUAGAGUUGCCGUUUAAUUUGAAAACAAAGGUAAUAGUGAAACUGAACCUUCUCUUAAUUGCAGAAGUUUUUGUGUCAAUAAUCUUCAAUCCUAGGAUAAAUAGAUACAAUGAGGUUCUUGAAGAAUAUAGUGAUAAAAGCACCGAACUUGACAUUAAAUAUACCAUUUUAGUAUGCUCAAAAGCAGAUCAAUAUCCUCAGAAAGUAAAAAAUGGGCCAAUAAACUUGGAGUAGAAAAAACAGGUCAAAUAAUUUGGAAGGAGAGCUAUCAUGAUGCAGACCUAAACAUCCCUCCAGGAACGUUAGUGAGGCCUUGUAUUGCUAUUUUUAAACAAUAAUAAUACACAACCUAUGAGUUUUUCUGUUGGUAAAUGUAUGUUCAUUUUAUUUUCUUAUGAAAAGUUAAUUCUGUACCCAGCUUGGUAUGAAAAUAUUGCAUUUGUUAUUAUUUGUAAUAGCUUAUUUGUUGGCAGAAAAUACAAAUACUCCUGCCAGAGCCUCUACACCAUCUUAGUCAGUCAAGAAACUACAUAUAUCAAAUAGAAAGCACACAAGAACAAAUAAAUUAUCAAAUAGCAAGUAGUAAAACGGAAACAUGUGUAAACAAAAGAAAACAAAGCAAAACUAUGCAGCUAUCAGUUUGUCUUCAGAUAUUGUUUGUGGUUGCCCAGCCAAUUCUACAGAAAUGAAGAAAAUAUCUCUUAAGUAAAAGAUUUAGUAAACCAUGUAUAAACUAAUAAACAUGUAGAACUAUAUAUAAGCAUGCAGACUCAUGUUGCAGAAAUUACUAUAGUAGAUCAGGAGAUGCAAGUAACAAGUAGUUCAAAACAACUAAUUAAGUUGUUAACUCGAAGAAAGGAUUUCGGGACCAAACAUUGAUUCAGAGAGGGCAUGUUGUACUAAUUGAAUAGUAUGCAAGUAAAACCUCUAGAGAUUAAAACCUUUAGGCUGACAGAGUGAAAGCUUUUAUAAGCGUUGUAAAUUCUUCUAAUUUUUAAGAAACAUCAUUUUCUGAGACAAUUGCACAUGCUUGUGAGCUAAUACUACCUAAUCACAAACCGCUUUGCUUUCUUCCAACAUUAUGGGAAGACAAAUCAACCAAGCAAACCUGAAAUCCAUUGCAUUGAUAGAAGGGAAUAGAGUUUGAAAGUUACAGCAGUAGUCUCGCAAGCACAUACGCGACAGGCGGUGUGAGCAAGACAUACAAACGCGUGUAAGAAGGGUAGGCGCAACCCUAGUAUAAAUGUCUAAGUCUCCUCGAUAAGUUGGCCAAGCCCCUUGGCCCCUGCGCGAGCCCAAGCUCUAGCAUAAAUUUAAAGAUAACUCAGAAAACUGAUUAUCAGUCCCUCUCUCCAAAAAUUCAGUUGUGCUGUUGCGUAAGAUAUAGUACGAAAUUGCCAAAUCUACAUGCAAAAAAAUAUGCCAAAUCAUACACAAUUGCUAGGCAACACAACCCAGAGGCAGAAGGGGAAUGUUUUGUAUCUGGUUCAAUAAGUUGCCUCAUAUAUCCAUCUGGUUUGGUCGUGCGACCGCUUCUUGCAAAGAUUUAGUCACUGGGGUCGGUAAGAACCAUACCUUGCUUUUCAAGAUGUGUCUCUCUAACUGGUGCGUCGUCGGCAUCGCCUCUCACCUGCCUGCCGCGCGCAUCCAGUAGCCUCCUCUCGUCGCUCGUCGCUCGUGGUCUUCUCCUUCCUCGCAGCACGCACGAAUUUGGCCCAGGAUGUCUUGUCCAUGAAGGACGAUUUCGGCGCAUUGCAACAGGAUUCAGAGGUGCUUCGAGGUGAUGUAUCUAAAUUGCAACAAGAGGUAUCAUCCAUCAGUUCCAAGCAAAGUGAAAUGUGCACUCAGAUUGGGGGUGUAGAACAAGCAGUGUUACAGUUAGGCAAACAGUUAUCUGCUAUGAGUUCUGUCCUGCAGUCACUCGUUCCAAAAACUGCAGAGCAGCGACAACCUGCUGCUGACAGUGGUACCAGCCAACAGGUAAAAUCACCAACACUUGAUAUCAAAAAAAAAAUCACAACACUUGCUCAAGCAGAGCUCCAGGCUCAGGAAACAAGGAAUGAAUAUCUGCGUAAGCAUUUGGAAGCAGAAAGAGAAAUGACAAGACAAUUUGAAGAAGCUCAACUUCAGAACUUACCUCUGGUCAGGGUUAACAUGAGUAGGUUUCCCCCAGGUUUUCAGACUACAGAUUUGACUGGUGAGGAAGACACUCCUGUGGCAAAUCCAACUAGACCUCCUACACCUGCAUUCCAACACUACCAACCAAAUAGAGAGAGUCAGUUAUGGCAGGGCUACUUCAAGACAUAUGAGCAAGAGAUGCAGGCACAGUUCAUGAAGGCCUUAACUAAAGGACCAAAGCUGGAAUUCCCAAAAUUUGAUGGCACUGAUCCUGUGGGCUGGAUCAGACAAUGCAACAAGUACUUCCAAAUGUUAGCUGCCCCUGAGGAGUAUAAAGUGUCAUUAGCACAGCUAUAUAUAGUAGGAGAGGCAGAUGUGUGGUUAAGAAGAUCUGGCAUUGUAAAGAAGCAAUUGAAUUGGUCACAAUUUGGCAAAGAGAUCAUUAAGAGAUUUUCAAAUCAGAACUCUUAUGAUCUCACUGAAAAAUUCAAUACUCUGAAACAGAGUAAUCUGUCUGUCUCUGAAUACAAUAAACAGUUUGAAGAUCUGAUGGCUGAAAUUCAAGAAGAAAAUCCUUAAUUCUCGGAACUUUGGUUUGUCAGAUGUUAUGUUAAUGGAUUAAGAGAUGGAAUUAAGUUUCAAUUGAGACAAUUGAGACCUCAAACACUUACUGAUGCAUUCUGUAUGGCAAAGGAUAUUGAGCCCUGCCAUCCUCCCCAAGUUGUUCAGCAAAAGAAAUAUGGAAUUCCAUACCAUAAUUAUUAUCAGAAACAGACCCAAACUCAGAUAGCUAAAGUGGAAAAUAACCCUGCUGUACAACAACCUCUUCAUGGGAAUAGGAACAGUGAAACACUCAAUAACAAGGUGCAAAGAAUUAGAAAAGCUGGAGAGUGCUGGAGGUGUGGAGAUAAAUGGGUGCAUGGACAUAAGUGUACUUUAGUUCCUAAUGUGCAUAUGCUACAACAAGAGUUAGAUGAAACUGGACCACAAGAGAAUGAGGGAGAAGCAUUGGAAGUUAAGAAGAAAUAGUGGAGCAACCUGAGCAAGUUAUGUUUAUAUCAUCUCAUGCUUUGGGUCAACAGCUCAGUGUGCAAACACCUACUGUGGCAGUUCCACAUCUUUCAUGAAUGAGCAGUUUGCUGUGAAAGCAAAUUGCCAUCUCCUGCCUGUAAGACCCAGGGAAAUCUCAGUAGCUGGUGGGGGCAUAUUAUUAGUCUCUAAUGCAGUAACACCCAACGGUUCAUUUCAAAUGGUUAAACUGAAAUUAGAACAUUCCUUCAGACUCUUAAAUCUGCAAGUCAUGAUAUGAUAUUGGGCUAUGAUUGGUUUACCACAGUGAGCCCAGUUUCUUUUGAUAUACCUCAGAAUCAGUUCAGUUUCACUGUCCAAGGGAAAACAACAGUUACAACUCCUAUAUAUACUGAUCCAGAGAAUAUAGUAGAAAGACCAGCUGAACAGGCAGUUAAGUUGCUUGACAAAGGGGUCCAGGCAUUCUUGAUACAGCUAAACAGUAUUGUGACUGAAACUCAAGAAAUGCACUACAUUCCUACUGCUGUGAACAAACUUUUGGAAGAAUACAAAGAUGUAUUUGCUGAGCCUACUUCACUACCUCCUCAGAGAGCACUAGAUCACAAGAUAAACGUAUUGCCUGGGGUCACUCCUCCUCACUCUAGACCUUAUAGGGUGCCACAUCAUCAGAAAGCAGAAAUGGAAAAGCAAAUCACACAUCUGUUAGAAAACAACCUUAUCAGACACAUCGGGUCGGUAAGAACCAUACCUUGCUUUUCAAGAUGCGUCUCUCUACUGGUGCGUCGUCGGCAUCGCCUCUCACCCGCCUGCCGCGCGCGUCCAGUAGCCUCCUCUCGUCGCUCGUCGCUCGUGGUCUUCUCCUUCCUCGCAGCACGCACGAAUUUGGCCCGGCCUUCUCCACCCUCCCCGUGCAGCCUGAGGUCGCGCGCAAGCACCGCGCUGCCUCGGCAUCUGGUCAUUUCUCCCUUCCCCACAGACCAUAAGGGUCAAGCGCGAGCCGCCUCACCCACCGCGCCGCCGGAUCUGGCCAUCUCCGCCCCUCCCGACACAACCCCGCGGUCGAGCGUGAGCCGCCACUCUGUUGCGCUGGGUUUUGCGCCGCCGAUCUGGCCUCCCCCGCGCGCCCUUCUUCCCCGGGAUCUGGAUGGGAUGGGGGAACGAAAGAGAGGAGAGGAGAAUGAAUUGGGGAAAAGAAAAAAACCAUGCCCCUACCUGUAAGGGACGCGAUGUAUUGUCGCUGUAUCGGACGGCUCGCACGCGGCCGCUCGCGAGCCCCGAACCGCGCGCGGCCGCUCCCUAAGCAGUUGGGUUCGAUGCCGCCGCCAUUCUCCCCCCUCCUGGCCGCCGCGUCCGCCGCCGGCGAGCAUUGCCCCUGGAGAAAAAGAAAAAUACCGAAAAAUCCAAGAAAUUAAUAAACAGAAAAGUCAAGAAGAAGAAAAUAUUCUCUGAUCCGAUGGGGAACUUUUUACUUCAACUCGUCAUGUUCAUCAUUUCCUAUGUACAAUUGAACGAACACAAUGUAACAAAUUUUCUAACUACGCCUACACGAUUUCAGCAAAACAACCUACAAAAAUCCACAGAAUUCGGCCUCAGUCGAUCCCCUGUUGCACAACUCGCACAGUUAUCUCACGGGCAAGCCUUGCGAAAUCUCUCGACGGCAAUCUUGUCCGCGCAUGUCACGGCCUGGACGAGGAUGCUUGCCAGCACCCGGAACUCCUCCGUGCUCUUGCGGAGGGCGUCGAGGCACUGGGCCGAAGCCGUCGCGGCGACCAGGAGGUCGGAUGUGGUCUCGGUCCUGGUGACCGCGUUGACGCGAGCCCCCGCGUCAGCGCGAACCGCGAACAGGAUGGAGAUGGACAGGGAAUCGACUGCGCUCGCUAGCUGGACAAGGCAUUGCCCCAGAUGAGCUCCCCAAGCAACCGCGAGCGGGUGCCGCCUGGGGAGGUUAGGCACGGGCGGGUGCCGCCUGGGGAGGUUAGGCACGGGCGGGUGCCGCCCGGGGAGGUUAGGCUCGGGCGGCUGCAGCGCCUGAAGCGCACGCUCCAUGCCGAUGGGGUUACCGCCGACGAAGUCUGCGCAUAUCCUGUCGAGGUGGCCGCGGGCCGAGCGCAGGAGGCCGCAGGCGUUGGCGACGUGGAGCCUCGCCUCUCUGAGGUUCCCCUCGAGCGGUGCGUCCGCCGCAUCCCGCAGCUCCUCGACGAGGGGUGCCGCGUCGCUCAGGUUCGCGUUGCCGUCGGCGACCCACUCCAGGAGCCGAGCAAGGCGACGGCUGGCGUGCUCCAAGACCCUCCGCAUCUCUAGGCCUGGACUCGCGGCCUCGCCCUCCAUCGCCCUCCGCCUUCUGGAUUCUUCCCUCUCUUUGCCCUAAUCUGUGCUGGCUUGUGGUUUUUGCAGGUGUGCCGUGGAAGCGGAUGACGAAGCGAUCUACGAGUAUUUAUAGGCGAAGGCUCCCCCUCUAGUUAUGCCAGCAUCGGGUCUCGCCCACCUCCAGAUGAAGAAGGUUCGCCUGAGUCGGCGGCAGCAUUCGAUUUUGGAGGCAUGAGGUGGGGAUCGCUGCCUGUCAGGCCUCGGUCCAAACAGGCUCGGAUAUGCAAACUCCGGCGCAUCUGUCUUGUUGCUCUAACAGAUCUAUUCGUAAUCAUCAUAGAUUUCGGCACAAAUUUAUUGGACGGACUUCACUAGGGCGCGACAUACCAUCUGUCACGUACACGUGAUGUCACCAACACGGCGUGUCAGCAGCUUCACAGAAUCAUGGAGCAAGCUUCAGCAACAGCAUUUUUUUUGAGCAAAAGCUUCAGCAACAGCAAGGGCGGGAGAACGAGAGUCAAGCGGUGGGCCGCUCAACAGGCCCACCCGCGCACGCAGGCUACCCCACCCAGUGGCUUGCAAGCCGAAAUUAGGCCCGAUAAGGCUUUAACGGCUCUCAUCGUUUAAAUACUCUCCCUCUUUCUCGUGGAGGGGCUUGAUCGGCGAUUCAAGGCGCAAAGGUGAGAAAAUCGUCCAAUCCGUCACCAAGUUACUGAAGGGGACUACAAAUGCCUUGGAUGGGCAUGGCCUUAUCAGCGACCGAUCCAUCAUCGACCUCACGUCCACCAGCGGCGUACAGGGCAGGGCUUCGACGAGGAAGAGUAGGGCAUGGAAGACGGCAGCACCUCUAGUCUCGUGAAAUAGUAUUUGUCCCAUGUCCUACUCUACCUCGCCGGCAACCGCACCAACACUUCGUGGGACGCAGCCAUCUGCCAGAUAUGGACACGGACGAAACAACAAGGAAGGUCGCCGGCGAAAACUUAGAAUAGUUUUACGUUGCAUGUAAUCAUAAGGAUAUCCGGUUGUGAAAAUGAUUUUUUUUGUUGGCCGGUCGUUGUUCGCGGGUGUUUGGGGGACGGAUUUUGCAAAUUGUGGUUGUAGAUGUUCCAAGAGCAACUCUAGCACAAUCCGUCCCGCAAAAUUGUUUGACGUUUCACCCUAAAACGAUUUUGCAGGUAGUUAAGACCGGGGCGCAGAACAGAUCUUGCAAACCCAUAUGUGAACUUUUAAACUUAAGAUACAUUGUGUUCCCUUCGUCUGGAACGCAUCGGAGAUCAUCAACAUAGAUAAACUAAAACUAAUGACGUCGAGGCGGUGGCUCACGGCUGGAUGUUAAGGUAGUACUCGGCCGCCGACCGGUAGAGAACGCUGGCGAGCUCGAACACGUCCUUCGCCGCCUCGAGCCGUUCGGUCGCCCUCUUCAUUAGCCGCCACCGCGUCCUUCGCGGCGGCGAGCUCGAUCUGUACAUCGCGAAGCCCCUUUGUGGUUGGCCAAAGAGCUUCCCCGAGCUUGUGGAAGCUAGACCAUGAGUCCCGGUCGGCGUCUCGACGGCAGGCCAGCUGGAGCCGCAGGACUCCGUGCUGUGUCAGGCGUGCUUGCGCGGCGGUGAUCCCCUCCCUCCGCCUCGGCCACCAUGCUCGUUUGCCCCUCCCGCCAUCAAUCUGAAGGAAAUGGACGCCAUGGCAUGGAAUCUGUAACCCAAGUUUGGAAAGGGAGGCGGCGAAGGAGAAUGGAAGACGGGAACCCUAAGUCGCCUCACGUCCGAUAGAUAUAGCGGCUGGGGGGGUGUGGGCGCUUGAAUAUUUUUUAUGGGUCGUGCCAAAUAUAAUCCCCCCUCCAUUCCUAAAUACAUUUGUAUUUCCCUCCGUUCCUAAAUACAUCAUGCUCAAGCCGUAAAACGGGCCCAUGCUCAAGCCGUAAAACGGGCAAAUACACUAAAUCCGUCGGAAAUUUACGCGCUGGCGAUGUGUUUAGCGCAUAUGAUGGAGUUGCUCUAAUUCCCUUCUUUCUCAUCCCCUUUCCCCAAUUCCCUCCGGCCCAAGCCCCCUCCUUUUCUUCGCACACGCCGACCGGCCCAGCUCCGCCUCUUCUUCGCACGCGGCGGCAGGCGCGGCUCUGCCUCCUCCCCGCUCUACCCGCUCCCUCCUACCCCUUGCUCUCAUGACCCCCUCUCCCUCCGUCGCCAACCCUCACGCAUGGCAGAAGAGGCGAAUGGUGCCAAUGUCGCAGGAGAGGGGGAGCAGGGCUGCCGGGGCUCGCGGUUGAAGGCGUCGGCGCUGGUGAGGCGGCUCGCUGUUGGGUGGUUGCGGUUGUUGCCAUGGCUGCGGGCGGAUCGGUCUGAGCGGAUGUGGGCGCACGGAGGCGUAGGCGGAGGGAGUACUGGAGUGGUCUCGUUGGCGACAGCUGGGCCAGCCGGCGGGAGCUGGAUCGAUCCGAGCUGGCAUGCCGGCACCCCAUCGAUGUCUUGCAUGUCCAGCCAAUCCUGCUCGACGACCAGGUGCUUGUGUCCGCCGUGCAGCACGCGCUCGCUUGCUGACCUCGAGCUCCAGCCGGAACAGCUUGUCGCCAAGGUAUCUCGCCCCCCUCUUCUUCCUUCCUUAGAGCAUCUCCAACAGUCGCCCAACGCGCGGCGCGCUAAAAAUGCGUUUGCAGCACGCUGGUCGCCUGUUUUGGUGUGGCGGGGAGCGUUGGCUCCAGCACCGCUGUAAACUUUAGCGCGCGCGUAGCUCCAGCAGAUGCACUAAAAUGCAGUGCGCGCGAGCAGUCGACGCUUGCCAUAUGUUGCAUUUUGGGCACGAAGUGAAUUUCAAACAUCAAAACAAAGACAUGGCAUAAUUUAAAUCACACAAACAAGUUCAUGAUGACAUAAAAGUUCAUGCCCACAAGUUCAAAUUCAUGCCCACAACUGAAGGAAAUAUGCCCUAGAGACAAUAAUAAAGUUGUUAUUUAUAUUUCCUUAUAUCAUGAUAAAUGUUUAUUAUUCAUGCUAGAAUUGUAUUAACCAAAAACUUAGUACAUGCGUGAAUACAUAGACAAACAAAGUGUCACUAGUAUGCCUCUACUUGACUAGCUCGUUGAAUCAAAUAUGGUUAAGUUUUCUAGCCAUAGACAUGAGUUAUCAUUUGAUUAACGGGAUCACAUCAUUAGAGAAUGAUGUGAUUGACUUGAUCCAUCCGUUAGCUUAGCACGAUGAUCGUUUAGUUUGUUGCUAUUGCUUUCUUCAUGACUUAUACAUGCUCCUAUGACUAUGAGAUUAUGCAACUCCAGAAUACCGGAGGAACACUAUGUGUUAUCAAACGUCAUAACGCAACUGGGUGAUUAUAAAGAUGCUCUACAGGUGUCUCUGAUGGUGUUUGUUGAGUUGGCAUAGAUCGAGAUUAUGAUUUGUCACUCUGAUUGUCAGAGAGGUAUCUCUGGGCCCUCUCGGUAAUGUACAUCACUAUAAACCUUGCAAGCAAUGUGACUAAUGAGUUAGUUGCAGGAUGAUGCAUUACGGAAUGAGUAAAGAGACUUGACGGUAACGAGAUUGAACUAGGUAUUGAGAUACCGAUGAUCGAAUCUCGGGCAAGUAACAUAUCGAUGACAAAGGGAACAACGUAUGUUGUUAUGCGGUUUGACCGAUAAAGAUCUUCGUAGAAUAUGUAGGAACCAAUAUGAGCAUCCAGGUUCCGCUAUUGGUUAUUGACCAGAGACGAGUCUCGGUCAUGUCUACAUAGUUCUUGAACCCGUAGGGUCCGCACGCUUAAUGUUCGAUGACGAUCGGUAUUAUGAGUUUAUGUGUUUUGAUGUACCGAAGGUUGUUCGGAGUCCCGGAUGUGAUCAUGGACAUGACGAGGAGUAUCAAAAUGGUCGAGACAUAAAGAUCGAUAUAUUAGAAGGCUAUGUUUAGACAUUGGAAUGGUUCCGGUUGAGUCACCUCAGUCAUAUCGUUGUAGUGCUUAGGCGAAGCCCUGCGUCGGUAAUUUCAUCAUCACCGUCAUCACGCCGUCGUGCUGACGAAACUCUCCCUCGACCUCAGCUGGAUCUAGAGUUCAUGGGACAUCACCGAGCUGAACGUGUGCAGAUCACGGAGGUGCCCUACUUUCGGUAAUAGGAUCGGUCGGAUCGUGAAGACGUACGACUACAUCAACCGCGUUGUCAUAGCGCUUCCGUUUUCGGUCUACGAGGGUACGUGGACAACACUCUCCCCUCUCGUUGCUAUGCAUCACCUAGAUGGAUCUUGCGUGUGCGUAGGAAUUUUUUUUGAAAUUACUGUGUUCCCCAACAACAACAUCAUCCACCAAGUUCAAAAUCCGAACCAAGUUCAUCACACAAAAGUUCACACCAACGAAUGGCACAUCAACAAUCAAGCCUCGUCCUCGUCUUCAUCCUCAUCUUCCUCCAAUUUAUCCUCCUCCUCCGAAGAUGAUUCUUCCUCCUCCUCUUCAUUGUCGUGCGCCGCAUCAUCAUGUGAAGCUCGGAAGGUGUUGGCAAGAUCUUCAACGGCAUCGUCAUGCGAAGGUGUGUGAGGCACACCGGAAGACAUUCCGCCCAUGCCGCCCGGAGGUGCUCCCAUGCCUCCCAUGAGAGAUGCAAAACUCAUGCCGCCAUGCCACCUGGAGGUGCUCCGAAGCCACCCAUGGUCUCCAUGGUAGCUCCAAAGCCACCCAUGGUAGCUCCGAAGCCACCGAUGCCUCCCAUGCCGACAAGGCCACCGCCACCCACAUGCCGCCAAGGCCACAGCCGCCCAUGCCGUGAAUCAUGGCUCUUUUUUGGAUCAAGACUUCUUCACGGGCAAGAUUGACAUACUCUUUUUGCACCUCAUUCAGGAUAGAUGUGUCCAUGAAGAACAAGUACUUCUCCCAAUCCAACAACCUAGAUCGCUCCUCCAUGCCCACCUUCCUCUCCUCCAAUGCCACCUUCCUCUCCUCGGCCGCCACCCUCCUCUCCUCGGUCGCCAACCUCCUCUCCUCGGCCGCAGCAUCUUGGUUCCUUGCCAUCUUGGUUCCUUACCAUCUUCCUCACCUCGUCUGCUUCUUUUCUUGCCUUCACAAUAGCUUCCAUAGCAUUUUUGAGCUCAUCAUCUCCUUUCCUCUUCUUCUCUUCUUUUGCGUCUUUCUUGCACCCAUCCGGUCGUUUUGGCUUCGAGUAUGAAAUCGAGUUUGGUGUGGGGCUUCUCCUGCCGUCAUCACUUGAUGCCUCCUCCUCCCCAUCAUCCAAAUCAAUUGUUCGCUUGUGUUUGUUGCUCAUAUCCAAAUUAUCCAUAUCAUCACGCUUCUUCCAUUUCUCAUCAUCCUUCAAUGCUUCAUAGUAAUGAGGCAAGGUAAAUGGUUUCCCUUUCUUGCUCUUCUUCUCCUCUCCUUUGAACAAGUUUUGUGCAAUAUUGAACUACAUAAAAACAAAACAAGUUAGCACUACAAACACCAAUAACAAGCAUGAUGAACAUGGAUGAAAUGGCACUUACUCUAUCUUCAUCAUUAGUGCCACUUGGAUUCAACUUGUCAACCGCCUUUUGUGCGGCCGCCCACUUUUGACAAUCUCGGUUGAUUGUCGACCACCGAGAGCGAAGAGAUCAUUUCGAGCGGUCAAUUCCACUCUUGUUGUGUAGAUCAAAAUGCUCCUUCAUCUGGUUCCAAUAAGCAUCUCUACUUUGAUCACCUCCAAUGGAUGGAUCCCUCGACACUUGCAACAAAGUAUUGCAUAGCAAGACGUCUUCAUCAUUAGUGUAGUUGCCUCCUCGUCCUUUCGGUGUGUCGACAAUGCCCUCACCAUCCUCAUCCACCUCGAACUCAUGUUCAUCGGAAUGCAUGUCAUGUUGGGGAAUGUAGUAAUUUCAAAAAAAUCCUACGCACACGCAAGAUCAUGGUGAUGCAUAGGACCGAGAGGGGAGAGUGUCGUCCACGUACCCUCGUAGACCGUAAGCGGAAGCGUUAUGACAACGCGGUUGAUGUAGUCGUACGUCUUCACGAUCCGACCGAUCCAAGUACCGAACGCACGGCACCUCCGAGUUCAGCACACGUUCAGCUCGGUGACGUCCCACGAAUUCCGAUCCAGCAGAGCUUUGAGGGAGAGUUUCGUCAGCACGACGGCGUGAUGAUGGUAAUGAUGAUGCUACCGAUGCAGGGCUUCGCCUAAGCACCGCUAUGAUAUGACCGAGGUGGAUUAUGGUAGAGGGGGUACCGCACACGGCUAAAAGAUCAAUGAUCAAUUGUUGUGUCACCAAGGGGUGCCCCCUCCCCGUAUAUAAAGGAGUGAGGGAGGGGGAGGGGCCAGCCUCCUAUGGCGCGCCCCAUGAGGAGUCCUACUCCCACCGGGAGUAGGACUCCCCCCUUCCAAGUAGGAGUGGGAGAGGGGAAGGAAGGGAGAGAGGGAGAGAAGGAAAGGGGGGUGCCGCCCCCCCUCCUUGUCCAGCUCGGACUAGAGGGGAAGGGGGCGCGCGGCUGCCCUGGCCGCCCCUCCUCUUCUCCCACUAAGGCCCAUUAGGCAAAAUAUACUCCCCGGGGGGUUCCGGUAACCCCCCGGUACUCCGGUAUAUGUCCGAAACCUCCCGAAACACUUCCGGUGUCUGAACAUAGUCGUCCAUUAUAUCGAUCUUUAUGUCUCAACCAUUUCGAGACUCCUCGUCAUGUCCGUGAUCAUAUCCGGGACUCCGAACUACCUUCGGUACAUCAAAACACAAAAACUCAUAAUACCGAUCGUCACCGAAUGUUAAGUGUGCAGACCCUACGGGUUCGAGAACUAUGUAGACAUGACCGAGACACGUCUUCGGUCAAUAACCAAUAGCGGAACCUGGAUGUUCAUAUUGGCUUCUACAUAUUCUAUGAAGAUCUUUAUCGGUCAAACCGCAUAACAACAUACGUUGUUCCCUUUGUCAUCGGUAUGUUACUUGCCCGAGAUUCGAUCGUCGGUAUCUCAAUACAUAGUUCAAUCUCUUUACUGGCAAGUCUCUUUACUCGUUCCGUAAAACAUCAUCCCGCAACUAACUCAUUAGUUGCAUUGCUUGCAAGGCUUAUAGUGAUGUGUAUUACCGAGAGGGCCCAGAGAUACCUCUCCAACAAUCGGAGUGACAAAUCCUAAUCUCGAUCUAUGCCAACCCAACAAGUACCAUCGAAGACACCUGUAGAGCACCUUUAUAAUCACCCAGUUAUGUUGUGACGUUUGGUAGCACACAAAGUGUUCCUCCGGUAUUCGGGAGUUGCAUAAUCUCAUAGUCAUAGGAACAUGUAUAAGUCAUGAAGAAAGCAAAUAGCAAUAUACUAAACGAUCAAAUGCUAAGCUAACGGAAUGGGUCAAGUCAAUCACAUCAUUCUCUAAUGAUGUGAUCCCGUUAAUCAAAUGACAACUCAUGUCUAUGGCUAGGAAACUUAACCAUAUUUGAUUCAAUGAGCUAGUCAAGUAGAGGCAUAGUAGUGACACUUAGUUUGUCUAUAUAUUCACACAUGUACUAAGUUUCCGGUCAAUACAAUUCUAGCAUGAAUAAUAAACAUUUAUCAUGAUAUAAGGAAAUAUAAAUAACAACUUUAUUAUUGCCUCUAUGUCAUAUUUCCUUCAUGUCAUUGGUUCGAGACCAAUGUGAAUUGUUGGAGCCAACGCCCAUAGUUGACAUAUAUGCCUCAUCGUUGAAACUACAAAGUGUAUACAACGAAGCAAAUAAGCUAUCUAUAUGUAUGCAUUAAAAAAAUAACAAACACAAAAAGUUGGCGAAAACCUUUGGGGCAUUUCCUUGAACACCUUGUGCGCGUCAGCCGCCGGCUCAACAAGUGAGCUCACUGGCGCUUCGGUAGCCGCCGCGCCUGUCGCACGGCCUGCAACACUACAAAAAAAAUACACUUCCAUGAUGAUACGUGUUUGUCACAGUAGGUCGCGUUUUCUGUCAUGCAUGUACAUCCAUGACAAAUUUAUGACAGAAUCAAUAUAGUCAUACCUGUGCUGUUGUAGAAGUGUUCCAUGACAUUGCCAAAAUUAUCAUCACGGAAGUGUCCACUUCCACGACGAUAAAUCGCGCGUCACAGAAGUGCUUUCGUCAAGGGUGACCGACACGUGGCAUCCACCAUAACGGAACGCCGUUAAGCUAUCGGGUCGGAUUUUGGAUCCAAUAACCCGUUAACAGCCACGACCAAUGCCGAUUUUCCACAUGUAAAAUUCUCAUUGGCUGACGGAUCCAAUGGGAGAGAUGGGCCUAUGAUAUGUUGACACAUGGACUGGCCCAAAAGUGGCCCACAAAGAUUAAAUGGGCUGGCCAACCGAAGGCCCAUAAGAUUUAGCGGACCAUAAUGGGCCGGCCCAGCUAAAGGCCCACAAAAUUUAGCCAACCAUAAUGGGUCGGCCCAGCUAAAGGCCCACACGAUUUUGCAGACCAUAAUGGGCCGGCCCAGCUAAAGACCCACAAGAUUUUGCAGACCAUAAUGGGCCGGGCCAGCUAAAGGCCCACAAGCUUUUGCCGACCAUAAUGGGCCGGCCCAGCUAAAGGCCCAACAUUCUCUGUCAAAUCGGCCCGUCAACGGCCUGUCCUAAACUUGUCAUCAACGUGGCCCAUGGUCACUUCUGGCCCGUUAACAGUCCGCUAAGUAAUUGGGCCGAAUUACGGCCCGGUGUAUUUUCGGCCUGUUAAAGGUCCGACUUCAUUUGGGCCCAUUUACAGGCCAUCAAAACUUUUGGCCCAUAAACGACCGUGAAGGAUUUGGGUCAUAUUCGGCCAUGUCUGACAUUCGGCCUGUUAGAGGCCCACUAUAGCUUUGGGCCACUUUCGGCCUGUUGUCAUUUUCGGCCUGUUAACGCCGGACGUAAACCAUGGGCCAUAUGUGGCCCAACGUCAUAUCGGGCCCAUGAACGGCCCAUAUAAAAAUGACGAUAAUCUAGCCCGACCGAAGUUCCGGCCUGUUAAAGGCUCGUGUAUUAGGUCGCCGCAUUUACGGCCCGUCCAAAUUUCGGCCUGUUAAAGUCCAGUGGGUUAUUUGGCACAAUUAGGGCCCAAUCUCACUUUCGGUCUAUUAAAGGCCCAUGUAUUUUAUGGGCUCGAGAUAUUUACACCUAUAAACGACCUAUUUUUACUGAGGGCCCAAAUUAUGUUUAGGCCUGUUAAAGGCCCACUAUGGGCACAGGCCUACCAGAAAAAUAUGAAAGCUUAUGCUGAUUUAGGCCCAGAUAUUUUUAGUGGGCUACAUGCCAAUUUCGUCUCGUAAUCGUUUUUAGCCCAAUUGGAAUGGGCCCGACGAAUGUUGGCUUGUUGGGCUCCUACGAAGCUUUCGGCCGAUUACAUUACUAAGAUAAACCUACACUAUACAAAAAUAGCAUCGUAAUUACUGCAGCCUGAGGCAGCAUCAUAAAUGUUGUAUCACAACAAAAUAAAUUCCAACCAUACAACAAAAGGCCUGUUGGCAUAAAGUUUACAGUCCCUCCAGAUAAAAGCACCAUAAGAUGUAUAGAAGCACAGAUCAUUUGACCUGAGUGCUAAUGUUUCAGGCUGUAGAAUCUGAUGGAGCAGCACGAUCUCUAGCUUUUUUCCGCCAUUGCUCUUGAACAACGAAGCGAAUAUCUGAUAGUCUGGUUUCAAAACCAUUCAUAUCUUGACGACAUUUCUCAACCACUAUUCUUGUUUCCGAAACAACGUCCAUUAGGGAUUGGACUUGUGUCUGGAGCACAGAUAUAUCACUCUGUCUAGCAGGAAGAUUUUGUUCAGUAGGCUAUUUGGACGAGGUUACCUUGACAACCAACCCAGAAUUACGCAGGAAGGUGCUUUUUGCACUGUUAGUGGAGAGAUACUGACACACUGCAACAAGAGGUGACAUUGUGCCUGUAGUAGCCUCGUCACCUUCAGGUGGUUGUGGCUAUUCAAUCAUUUGUUCCCACUACAAAAAAGACACAUCCGUGACAUUUUGGGCUGAACGAAAAAAAAUUCUAUCAUACAUAUGACACUUCUAUGAUGAUAAUUGUGACAAAACUCGGUAUCAUCAUAGAUGUGGUGGGCUCCUACUUCUAUGACCAAAAAUCAUGACAGAAAAUGGGCUUUUCGUCCUGGGCGGGCCGGAGACGUAGCUGCAUGACAUUCUUUGGGCCGUCCAUGACGGAAAAAACCAUGGUAGAAGCGAGGGGGAGGAAAAUUUCGGGGAGUUCCCGGUUACGGUGGGAGGUCGGGGGCCGAGCGAUGCGCGUUUCUCUCGUACACGUAUGCACGUGUGUGCGAGGCAUUGGCUCUAACUGAACCCAAGUGAGGCGUUGGGCUCCAACUGAACCCGAGCGAUUGCACUGCAGGCUACGCGUUACUGAACCCGAGCGAUCGAUAGAUGGCUGUUAACUGAACCCGAUUNNNNNNNNNNNNNNNNNNNNNNNNNNNNNNNNNNNNNNNNNNNNNNNNNNNNNNNNNNNNNNNNNNNNNNNNNNNNNNNNNNNNNNNNNNNNNNNNNNNNNNNNNNNNNNNNNNNNNNNNNNNNNNNNNNNNNNNNNNNNNNNNNNNNNNNNNNNNNNNNNNNNNNNNNNNNNNNNNNNNNNNNNNNNNNNNNNNNNNNNNNNNNNNNNNNNNNNNNNNNNNNNNNNNNNNNNNNNNNNNNNNNNNNNNNNNNNNNNNNNNNNNNNNNNNNNNNNNNNNNNNNNNNNNNNNNNNNNNNNNNNNNNNNNNNNNNNNNNNNNNNNNNNCCGGUGGGGGUGGAUGAACAGGACCCCGUGGUGUUGCCUCUGGAUGAACAGGACCCCGAUCGAUCGAGCCGGUUGGGGCUGGAUGAACAGGACCACCCCAUGGAGGGCUGGAUGAAUAGUAGACGGUGGAGGGCAGGAUGAACAGUAGCCCGUGGAGGGGUGGUUGAACAGGAGCCCGUGGAGAGGGGUGGUUGAACAGUAGUCGAUGGAGUAGCGCGCGGUAGAGGCUGGAUGAACAGGAGCCCGUGGAUGAACAGUCGCAGGUGAAGGCUGGAGGAGGUCGGCGGUGGAUGAACAGUAGCUCGUGGAGGCUGGAGGGGGUCGACGGUGGAGAUGAACAGUAUCCCGUGGAGUCCCGUUUUGCGGUACGCCACACCCCUCUCGAUGAACAGGAUCCCCGUUUCGACCGUAGCGCUCCAACACAAGUCCGUUUCCUCCGUUUUGCGGUACGCCACACCCCUCCCGAUCAACAGGACCCCCGUUUCGACCGUAGGAGGUCCGUUUCGUCUGUUUUGCGGUACGCCACACCCCUCCCGAUCAACAGGACCCCCAUUUUGACCGUAGGAGGUCCUUUUCCUCUAUUUUGCGGUACGCCACACCCCUCCCGAUCAACAGGACCCCCGUUUCGACUGUAGGAGGUUCGUUUCCUCCAUUGUGUGGUACGCCAGGCCUCGUUUCCAUCGCCUCUUCCGUCCAAGCCCUCCCGAUGAACACGACCACGCAUUCCCUUCCGACCCAGCCGCGUUGCCUCCCGAUGAACACGACGCAUUCUGUUGCCUCCCCAUGAACAUGACGACGAUGAUGUUUCUCUGUUCUGACCCAGCCAUGUCAACGAGCCCUCGCCGUACGUAUGCGCGAGUAGGCGUUCGAGACCCCACCCGUAUGUACACAUACGUGGCCGUAUUUUCUUUCUUGCACCCUGGCCGUUGUACGUACGUGUAAAUGCUACAUGCGCGCCUCUACUACGACACGUGCGCGCCUCUACAUCGACCGGUAUAUAUGUACAUACACGUUCGCGACCAGAAUGACAACGCUAUGUACGCUUCGACCAGGUGGGUCCCGACUGUCAGGCACUUCCUUGCGUGCGAAGAUGUAGCUGGUGGGUCGCAGCAGUCAGGGGGGCGAAAUACGGUGGCCCGUCCGGUGGGUCCCCGCUGUCAGGUGGAGGAAUAAUUAUUUUGCACGUAAUAAGGAGGCACUUCCUUGCUGCGGCCGUGGACCCAGAUGUCAGCCUCUCCACGUACAGUCCACGUCCGAUGGAAGUCAUUCCUUGACCACGUUGACCACGUCGCACCGAGAGCACCAGGGCGGUGGAGGACGGCGAGGCCUAGGAAGGGGGCGACGGGGAGCCGGGGAAGAUGCGGCAGUGGAAGCCCCCGCGCGCGGAGAGGAGUACAAGGGUUCACUGGUUUGGCUGCGGUGUGAGGCUGCCAUGGCCGCAGGGCCUGGCCAGCGGUGGGAAUAGUAGGGGGCGGUGAGGCCUCCGCGGCAGCACAGCCGGCCACGGGAGGCAGGAGCAUGCGGCACGACCGGCGCUGCUUUGGGCGGCUGGAGCAAGAAGACCAGAGGUUGAAGAAGCACUACGGCCGUUGGAUGGACAUCGUACGGUCACUGGAGCUAGAAUCGUUCAUAUUGACUAAAGUUGACAAAGGCCCCCGUCCCAGUCAACUUAGUACGCCCACAAGUCAGCCUCCCACCAUGGUGGGUCCCAGCUAGCAGGGGGAGUAUUCAUUUUUUUGUGCGUAAUAAGGAGGCACUUCCGGUGGGUCCAAGCUGACAGCGGGGGAACGUUUUAUUCGCGAAAUACGAUGUCCCAUCCGAUGAGUCCGAGCAGUCAAGGGGGAAACAUUUUUUUCACGAAAUAAGGUGGCCCGUCCGGUGGGUCCCUGCUGUAAGGUGGAGGAAUAAUUAUUUUGCGCGUAAUAAGGAGGCACUUCCUUGUAGCCGCCUGGACCCAGCUGUCAGCCUCUCCACAUACAGUACUCUUCCGAUGGAAGUCGGUCGUUGACCACGUUGACCACACCGCGCCGAGAGCACCAGGGCAGUGGUAUGGACGAGGCGAGGCCUAGGAAGGGGACGACACGGAGCCGGGGAAGACACAACAGUGGAAGCCAUCGCGAGAGGAGUACGAGGGUUCACUGGUUCGGCUGCGGUGUGAGGCUGUCGUCGCUGCAGAAUAACAGGGGGUGUGGGUGAGUAGAGGGAUGGCCUGGCUAGCGGUGGGAGUAGUAGGGGGCGGUGAGGCCUCCGCCGCAUCGCAGCCGGCCACGGGAGGCAGGAACACAAGGCACGACCGGCGCUGGUUUGGGCGGCUGGAGCAAGAAGACCAGAGGUUGAAGAAGCACUACGGCCGUUGGAUGGACAUCGUACGGUCACUGGAGCUAGAAUCGUGCAUAUUGACUAAGUUGACAAAGCCCUCCGUCCCCGUCAACUUAGUAGGCCCACAAGUCAGCCUGCCACUAUACUGGGUCCCAGCUAACAGGGGGGGGUAUUCAUUUUUUUGUGCGUAAUAAGGAGGCGCUUCCUUGCGUGCGAAGAUAUAGCUGGUGGGUCCAAGCUGUCAGCGGCGGUAACGUUUUUUUGGCGAAAUACAGAGGCCCUUUCGGUGGGUCCCUGAUGUCAGGUGGAGGAAUCAUUAUUUUGCAUGUAAUAAGGAGGCAUUUCCUUGCGUGCGGCCGUGGACCCAGUUGUCGGCCUCUCCACAUAAAGUCCACUUCAGAUGCAUGUCGGUCGUUGACCACAUUGACCAGGCCGCGCCGAGAGCACCAGGGCGGUGGACGGCGGUGAGGCCUAGGAAGGGAACGACACGGAGGCAGGGAAGACUCGGCAGUUGUUUCCCACGCGGAGGGGAGUAUGACUGUACGAGGGUUUACUGGUUCAUCUGCCGUCACCGGAGAAUAACAGCAGGUGUGGGUGAGUAGAGGGAUGGCUAGGCCAACAAUGGGAGUACGGUGGGGCGGUGAGGCCUGCGCGGCAGCAUAGCCGGCCGCGGGGAGGAGGGAGCAGGCAGUCCCACUGGCGCCUGUUUGAGCGGCUGGAGCAGGAAGAGCAGAGAUUGAAGAAGCACGACAGCCGUUGGAUGGCCAUCCAACAGUCACUGCUUGUGCGUCAACUUUUUUUAAAGCCUCAAAUCUGUGGAAAACAGCAUACAUCCCAUCUGCCAUUAUUUCUAAUAAUUUACAGCCCAUUUGCUAAUUAUUAAGUUUUUUUAGCCCAUAUUCUUUUUGUUAGCAUUACAGCCCAUAUUGUGGCCACGAUUAAAAAAUUAUAUGAAAUUUUGCAUAUUUCGGUGCGGUCCGAACUGUUUUUAAUCCCGAAAUUUUGACUCACAUUCAAACUAAUUUUAAAAAUAAAUGUAUAUCAAUAUAAAAUCCAACAAAUUCUCCAUGCAUAAAAAUUAAUGUAGUUUCAAAUCUCGAAAUGAAAAAAAGAUAUUUGAAACUAAUUGCCGGUUUGAUGUGUUUUAAAAAUGUACAUCCCAUUUCUCAUUACUGAUGGGCCAUUUUCUCAGCCAGCCGAAUGAAAGCUCUACUCGUCUUGAAAGAUUUGCAGCCCAACAGGCCUGACAAAGUGACUUUCUUGGCAAAUCACAAAAAAACUGGGCUGUGGCCGUGGACCCAGCUGUCAGCCUCUCCACGUACAGUACUCUUCCGAUGGAAUGUCGUUAACCACGUUGACCACGCGCGCCGAGAGCACCAAGGCGGUGGACGACGGCGAGGCCUAGGAAGGGGACGACACGGAGCCGGGGAAGACGCGGCAGUGGAUGCCCAUGCGGAGAGGAGUACGAGGGUUCACUGGUUCGGCUGCGGUGUGAGGCUGCCGUCGUCGCAGAAUAACAGGGGGAGUGGGUGAGUGGAGGGAUGGCCUGGCCAGCGGUGGGAGUAGUAUGGGGACGGUGAGGCCUCCGCGGCAGCACAGCCGACCACGAGAGGCAGGAGCAUGCGGCACGACUGGUGCUACUUUGGGAGGCUGGGGCAAGAAGACCAGAGGUUGAAGAAGCACUACGGCCGUUGGAUGGACAUCGUUGACCACUCCGCACCGAGAGCAUCAGGGCAGUGGACGACGGCGAGGCCUACGAAGGGAAGACACGGCAGUGGUUGCCCACGCGGUGGAGAGUACGAGGGUUGACUGGUUCGGCUGCCGUCGCCGGAAAAUAACAGGAGGUGUGGGUGAGUAGAGGGAUAGACAGGUCAGGGAUGCGAGUAUGAUGGGGCCGUGAGGCCUUCUCGGCAGCACUGCCAGCCACGGGAGGCGGGAGCAGGCGGUUCCGACGGUGCUGGUUUGGGCGGCUGGGGCAGGAGGAUCAUAGACUGAAGAAGCACGAUUGCCGUUAAAUUGACAUCUAACGGUCUGACGCUGGUAGAGUCGAUUGUUGACUAAGUUUCUUUUUUGAGAAACCUUGUGUACGCAUGAACUUAGUAGGCCCACAAGUCAGCCUCCAAAUCUGUGGCAGACAACAUAAAGCACAUUUGCUAUUUUUUAUAAUUUGCAGCCCAUUUGCUAAUUCUUAAGUAAUUUAUUACAGUCCAUUUUCUGCCCGGGACCACGGUCAAAAAGUCCAACCUUAUUUUGCAUAUUUCGGCGGAGUCCGAACUGUUGUAAUCCCGAAAUGAUAAACAUUUUUUAAGAACUUAUUGAUUUGCCAAAAAAUCUUUUUGUUUUUGGAAGCAAAUAAGACGUGGGACAAAUUUAGUUGGUUUAAGGGAAAACCAGUGGUAAAAAAUCAGCGCUGGGUGGGAAAAACAACAAAAAUAAGGAUGUAAAUAUGAAAAGAGAAUUUUAUGUGUUUUCAAUAUAAUGAUACGUGUAUAUGAACUAGUAAAACUAUAGGUAGAGCUUAGAAAACAGAUGUAGGACAUGCGUUUCAAGAGGAAAAUAGAACUGGGCUGUGUGUUUGAUUCAGUAAAAAAACUGCCUGCGGAUGUUGUAAGACAAAAUAUAACUAACGCUGGCGGGCCAGAGGCCAGUAGAUACCUGCUGGAUCUUUGUGCCCCGUUGUCGUCAUGGGCUGGGCCUGUUAAAAACAAAACAACCCUGGGCAAUCUACAACCCAGUUGAAACUUGCUCGACCUGAAAAAACAAUAUACGUGCUCAAUAAACGAGAGAAUUCUGCAAGUACAGACUGAUAACUGGGAUGCAUCACGGAUAUUGUUUUUUUUAUCGUGAUAAUAAGUGCAUGCACUUGUUUCGAAAAAAUUGGAAAACUGGGAAUUCGAACGUCAGGUGCUUAUGCUACCCAUCAAAUAAAAAUCAGGUGCGUGAAAAUUCGUUUCGAAAAAAAUGAUUCAACUUUAUAUCCACAUCGACCCUCGGCAUGAUGGUUGGAAGCAAAUGCAAGUUCAUACCAAAAGAUCGUUAACAACAAUACCAACUUGCGGACGACAAGGUAGUACAACUACCAAUACCACACUAACUUAUAAUCUUUUUACUCCUGGACCUAGUGUUCGUCUGGUAGAAAAUCUUGCAGAGGACUAGCUCCCGCUCCUUCUCUUGCUCCAGGUCCCCGAGGUGGUACUGGUGCAUCACCCAGUUGGUCCUAUGCUGGUCGAAGUUCUUGUUGGUGUGCAGCACCAGAACCUUUUUUGCUGCCCGUCUGCCGGCCGUUGACCAUCACCGGCAAGGUAUUGCCGGUCUUGUGCCACAUCGCGUGCAUGCCGUACUCCGACUGUAUCUUGCGACGCGUCCACGCGCCCCUUUUGAACACCUUGGAAUUGCGCUGGAGGAAAUGCUUCCGUAGGCCACUCAGUGUGAUACCUGCAGUAUUGUGGAAUACAGGUUUUAGUGUACCUAGUUGGCAUUUUCAUAACAUCUUUGGCAUGUUGCAGUCACUUGUUUCACUUUUUUAUUAACUGUCAAAUUGUAAUUGCUUCACCAGGUCCGCGUGUAAAAAGAAAAAUAGAGCUAUAAACAAAGGAAUAUGUUUGUGCAAGUAGACGGCCGAUCGGUGUCUUACCUGGAAGUUUCUCAGGUUGGGUGUAACAUAUGCCGUGCUCGCUGUCGAUGGUUGGUAUGAACAAAUCGAUGAGAGACUGAAAUCUCGCGCUGUCAGCACUCACUUUGGCCUCAAGGUGCUCGAUCAGCUCCUGAUCCAUGGGAUCGAACUUGACGCCAGCCGGCAGCACGGGCCAAUCCUUCUUCGACUUGCAUCGGUAAUUCCAGUUAUAUGGUACUCAAUGUAUGAUCAAUUGACUGUUUUAAGUGAAUGAUGAAAGAUUUCGACAGAUAAGUGGUACUCCAAAUCUGAAGUCCAGAAUACCCGAACACGCCGCCGGGAUUCUUGUGUCACCUCACGCGCAGCGUGUUGUCACGUCAAUUCAAUGUGUGGACAUGAUGAAUAAUUUGACCAACGUAUACUAGUACUGCUACUGUACUACUUACUAGUCGUAUUUAGUGUCACAAUUUAUACAUAGGUUUAACUAACAAGUAUGCACUUGAAGCCUAACUGAUAUAUAUAUAUAUAUAUAUAUAUAUAUAUGGCUUCUGCACAACAUCUCCAUCAUCAUUAUCAGUACAUCCUACGCAGGUGAGUUAGGAUGCACUUGAUCCCAGGAAGGUAUCUAUCCUUCAAACUAGAGGAGUGCUUCAAACUAACAACAACACAUAAUAUCCAACAAAAGAGGGUCGUGGUACAGCAGCAGAAUACAUGGCUCAGUCUAGAUAUCAGCACGAAUCAAGUUGUGCAUAUUUGCUGUUGGCAUGAACCACAUCGCCGCUUGUCAGGUUUGCAAAAGCCAUCCAUCGCAUGGAAGCUUGAUGCCUUUCACACACUGAAGAUUAUCUGGCAACAAGCUGUGUCGAUGAAUCUCUGGAUAUGGUGAUUUAUGAAACCCAUGGUAUGAUGUGUAAACACAGCCCCCCCUCGCGAAUGGAAGUUGCAUAGCACAGUAAUCAUCGCUGGUGAUAUGAUUGAUGAUUGGUUGGAUGAUCGGAUAAUUGAACCCGAGGAACAAGGAGUGGUUGCCGAGGUUGUAAACCCGCCUCCAGUUGAAUACGCCUGGCCCAACGGAGCUGGGAUCUUUCUCGAACACGAAGCAGCCAUAGCCAUCAAUGUGACGAACGCCCCAUGCAUUGUACUGCAUGUGGUUUGAUGUAAUGGUUUGGUCAAUUUGGUACGUGCGAAUGAGCAUCAAGUGACCGCCGUCAGCUGAACGAGCGAUAAACCACCACCCAUCGGCUGGUAUGAUUCCAGGUCCUGGAAUCAUGAAGGCCAGCACAUUUGCGUCUGCUGCAACAAUUCAAAUUAGAGACCAAAAGGACAAAAAUAAACAAUCAUGUUCAAAGUAUGUGUGGAAUUAAGAUUAUUAUAACAGUGACACAUAUCAUAGACAGAGAAUUGCAAUGUCGUGGUCAUAAUCAUACCCCAAGUUAAAAAAAUAAGCCAAUGGCUUUCAUAUUCUAGCAAUAGGUCAUGGUUCAAACAUCAUGUAACAAUGAGAGGAAAACAGCUAUGACAGCGCCUACUCAUAUUCUACCAUAGCACUUACUACUACUGUUCUCAUAUCAACUCUAAGCAAUAACAUGCGUUGUUAUAAAAAUCUUGUAAACGAGAGUAACAUAUAGCAAUGAUGAUGUUAUGCUCAUAAUAUGUAUUCUAACUAUCAUUAGAUGCCAAUUGUUCUCAUAUCAACUCUAACAAUAACAUGUGUGGUCAUAAAAAUCUAGGAAAUGAGAGGAACAUAUAACAAUGAUGUGGUUAUAGACAUGCUAUGCAUUCUAAAUUUGUAACAAAUGAAUAGGCAGUCGUAUUCAUAAGGUAAAGAUGAGAUGAGAUAGAACAAUUACACGACGAUAGAUUCCACCAGUAUAGGUAGCCAAUCUGUGCGUCGACCGCGUAAACGAUGCCAUCGUGCACUAUAGCAUCAGACAGAAAUGUUUCCUCAACAGGAUUGAUGAUGAGCCAUAACCAUGUAUGGCGACCGGAUUCUAGAUAGACUAAUCCCUUGUUGAACAAGGCAAUGAGCUUGUAAUCCAUGUAGUCUUCUGAUGGUGUGGGCACUUCGCAGAUUACAACUUUCUGCAAACAGAGGUCGAGCCAAAAGCUUGACGCGUCUCGUGCGUAGUAGGCAGGAGUGUCCAGCGGGCCGCGAGGCUCGAUGGCGGUGGUAUCCAAAGAUGGAAGGGUGAUCUCUCUGUUAGGGAAUGUAGUAAUUUCAAAAAAAUUCCUACGCACACGCAAGAUCAUGGUGAUGCAUAGCAACGAGAGGGGAGAGUGUUGUCCACGUACCCACAUAGACCGAAAGCGGAAGCGUUAUGACAACGUGGUUGAUGUAGUCGCACGUCUUCACGAUCCGACCGAUCCAAGUACCGAACGUACGGCACCUCCGAGUUCAGCACAAGUUCAGCUCGAUGACGAUCCCUGGACUCCGAUCCAGCAGGGUGUCGGGGAUGAGGUCCGUCAGCACGACGGCGUGGUGACGAUGAUGAUGUUUUACCGACGCAGGGCUUCGCCUAAGCACCGCAACGAUAUGACCGAGGUGGAAUAUGGUGGAGGGGGGCACCGCACACGGCUAAGGAACGAUCACGAAGAUCAACUUGUGUGUCAUGGGGUGCCCCCUGCCCCCGUAUAUAAAGGAGCAAGGGGGGAGGGGGCGGCCGGCCUAGGAGGGGGCGUGCCAUGGGGAGUCCUACUUCCACCGGGAGUAGGACUCCCUCCUUCCUUGUUGGAGUAGGAGAGAAGGAAAGAGGAGGAGAGGGAGAAGGAAAAGGGGGCUGCACCCCUUGUCCAAUUCGGACCAGAGGGGGGGGGGGGCGCAUGCCUCCUUCCUUUUGGUCUCUCUCCUCUAUUCCCGUAUGGCCCAAUAAGGCCCAUAUACUCCCCGGCGAAUUCCCGUAACUCUCCGGUACUCCGAAAAAUACCCGAAUCACUUAGAACCUUUCCGAAGUCCGAAUAUAGUCGUCCAAUAUAUCGAUCUUUACGUCUCGACCAUUUCGAGACUCCUCGUCAUGUCCCCGAUCUCAUCCGGGACUCCAAACUCCUUCGGUACAUCAAAACUCAUAAACUUAUAAUAAAACUGUCAUCGAAACCUUAAGCGUGCGGACCCUACGGGUUCGAGAACUAUGUAGACAUGACCUAGAACUGUUUCCUGUCAAUAACCAAUAGCGGAACCUGGAUGCUCAUAUUGGUUCCUACGUAUUCUAGGAAGAUCUUUAUCGGUCAAACCGCAUAACAACAUACGUUGUUCCCUUUGUCAUCGGUAUGUUACUUGCCCGAGAUUCGAUCAUCGGUAUCCAAUACCUAGUUCAAUCUCGUUACUGGCAAGUCUCUUUACUCGUUACGUAAUGCAUCAUUCCAUAACUAACUCAUUAGCUACAUUGCUUGCAAGGCUUAUAGUGAUGUGCAUUACCGAGAGGGCCCAGAGAUACCUCUCCGACAAUCGGAGUGACAAAUCCUAAUCUCGAAAUACGCCAACUCAACAUGUACCUUCGGAGACACCUAUAGAGCUCCUUUAUAAUCACCCAGUUACGUUGUGACGUUUGGUAGCACACAAAGUGUUCCUCCGGUAAACGGGAGUUGCAUAAUCUCAUAGUUGUAGGAACUUUGUAUAAGUCAUGAAGAAAGCAAUAGCAACAUACUAAACGAUCAAGUGCUAGGCUAACGGAAUGGGUCAAGUCAAUCACAUCAUUCUUCUAAUGAUGUGAUCUUGUUAAUCAAAUGACAACUCAUGUCUAUGGCUAGGAAACACAACCAUCUUUGAUCAACAAGCUAGUCAAGUAGAGGCAUAAUAGUGACACUAUGUUUGUCUAUGUAUUCACACAUGUAUUAUGUUUCCGGUUAAUACAAUUCUAGCAUGAAUAAUAAACAUUUAUCAUGAUAUAAGGAAAUAAAUAAUAACUUUAUUAUUGCCUCUAGGGCAUAUUUCCUUCAGUCUCCCACUUGCACUAGAGUCAAUAAUCUAGUUCACAUCGCCAUGUGAUUUAACACCAAUAUUCACAUCUGUAUGUGAUUAAUACCCAUAGUUCACAUCGUCAUGUGAUCAACACCCAAAGGGUUACUAGAGUCAAUAAUCUACUUCACAUCGUUAUGUGAUUAACAACCAAAGAGUACUAAGGUAUGAUCAUAUUUUGCUCGUGAGAGAAGUUUAGUCAUCGGGUCUGUCACAUUCAAAGCCGUAUGUAUUUUGCAAAUAUUCUAUGUCUACAAUGCUCUACACGGAGCUACUCUAGCUAAUUGCUCCCACUUUCAAUAUGUAUCCAGAUUGAGACUUUAGAGUCAUCUGGAUCGGUGUAAAAGCUUGCACCGAUGUAACUCUUUACGACGGGCUCUUUUAUCACCUCCAUAAUCGAGAAAUAUUUCCUUAGUCCUCACUAAGGAUAUUCUUGACCAAUGUCCAGUGAUCUACUUCUAGAUCACUAUUGUACUCCCUUGCAAAAUACAGAGCAAGGUAUACAAUAGGUCUGGUACAUAGCAUACUUUAUAGAACCUAUGACUGAGGCAUAGGGAAUGACUUUCAUUCUCUUUUCUAUUUUCUGCCAUGGUCGGGAUUUGAGUCUUACUCAACUUCACACCUUGCAACACAUGUAAGAACUCCUUCUUUGGCUGUUCCAUUUUGAAUUACUUCAAAAUCUUAUCAAGGUAUGUAUUCAUUGAAAUAUCUUAUCAAGCGUCUUGAUCUAUCUCUAUAGAUCUUGAUGCUCAAUGUGUAAGUGACUUUACCGAGGUCUUUCUUUUAAAGAACUCCUUUCAAAUACUUCUUUAUGCUUUCCAGAAAAAUUCUACAUCAUUUCUCAACAAUAUGUCAUUCACAUAUACUUAUCAGAAAGGCUGUAGUGCUCCCACCCACUUUAUUGUAAAUACAGGCUUCACUGCAAGUCCGUAUAAAACUAUAUGUUUUUGAUCAACUUAUCAAAGCGUAUAUUCCAACUCUAAGAUGCUUGCACCAGUCCAUAGAUGGAUUGCUGGAGCUUGCACAUUUUGUUAGCACCUUUAGGAUUGACAAAACCUUCUGGUUGCAUCAUAUACAACUCUUCUUUAAGAAAACCAUUAAGGAAUGCAGUUUUGACAUCCAUUUGCCAGAUUUCAUAAAAUGUGGCAAUUGCUAACAUGAUUCAGACAGACUUAACCAUCGCUACAGUUGAGAAAAUCUCAUUGUAGUCAACACCUUGAACUUGUCGAAAACCUUUUUGCGACAAGUCGAGCUUUUGUAGAUAGUAACACUACUAUCAACGUCCGUCUUCCUCUUGAAGAUCCAUUUAUUUAACAUGGCUUGCUGAUCAUCGAGCAAGUCAAUCAAAGUCCAUACUUUGUUCUCAUACGUGGAUCAUAUCUCAGAUUUUAUGGCCUCAAGCCAUUUCGCAGAAUCUGGGCUCAUCAUCGCUUCCUCAUAGUUUGUAGGUUCAUCAUGGUCUAGUAAAAUGACUUCCAGAACAUGAUUACUGCACCACUCUGGUGCGGAUCUUACUUUGGAAGACCUACGAGGUUUGGUAGUAACUUGAUAUGAAGUUUCAUGAUCAUCAUCAUUAGCUUCCUCACUAAUUGGUGUAGGAAUCACUGGAAUUGAUUUCUGUGAUAAACUACUUUCCAACAAGGGAGUAGGUAUAGUUACUUCAUCAAGUUCUACUUUCCUCCCACUCACUUCUUUCGAGAGAAACCCCUUCUCUAGAAAGGAUCCAUUCUUAGCAAUGAAUGUUUUGCCUUCGGAUCUGUGAUAGAAGGUGUACCCAACAGUUUCCUUUGGGUAUUCUAUGGAGACGCACUUCUCCGAUUUGGGUUUGAGCUUAUCAGGUUGAAAACCUUUUUUCAUAUAAGCAUCGCAACUCCAAACUUUAAGAAACGACAACUUUGGUUUCUUGCCAAACCACAGUUCACAAGGCGUCGUCUCAAACGGAUUUUGAUGGUGCCCUAUUUAAAGUGAAUGCAACUGUCUCUAAUGCAUAACCCCAAAACGAUAGUGGUAAACCGAUAAGAGACAUCAUAGAUCACACCAUAUCUAGUAAAGUACGAUUAUGACAUUCGGACACACCAUUACAUUAUGGUGUUCCAGGUGGCAUGAGUUGCGAAACUAUUUCACAUUGUUUCAAAUGAAGACCAAACUCGUAACUCAAAUAUUUGUCUCCACGAUCAGAUCAUAGAAACUUUAUUUUUCUUGUUACGAUUAUUUUCCACUUCACUAUGAAAUUCUUUGAACUUUUCAAAUGUUUCAGACUUUAUGUUUCAUCAAGUAGAUAUACCCAUAUCUGCUCAAAUCAUCUGUGAAGGUCAGAAAAUAACGAUACACGCCGCGAGCCUCUACACUCAUCGGAUCGCAUACAUCGGUAUGUAUUAUUUCCAAUAAGUCAGUAGCUUGUUCCAUUGUUCCGGAGAACGGAGUUUUAGUCAUCUUGCCCAAAAGGCACGAUUCGCAAGCAUCAAAUGAUUCAUAACCAAGUGAUUCCAAAAAUCCAUCUUUAUGGAGUUUCUUCAUGCGCUUUACACCGAUAUGACCCAAACUGCAGUGCCACAAAUAAGUUGCACUAUCAUUAUUAACAUUGAAUCUUUUAGCAUCAAUAUUAUGAAUAUGUAUAUCACUACGAUCGAGAUCCAACAAACUAUUUUCAUUGGGUGUAUGACCAUUUGUAGGUUUUAUUCAUGUAAACAGAACAACAAUUAUUCUCCGACUUUAAAUGAAUAACCGUAUUGCAAUAAACAUGAUCAAAUCAUAUUCAUGCUCAACGCAAACACCAAAUAGCAUUUAUUUAGGUUUAACACUAAUCCCGAAAGUAUAGGGAGUGUGCGAUGAUGAUCAUAUCAAUCUUGGAACUACUUCCAACACUCAUGUCACUUCCCCUUCAACUAGUCUCUGUUUAUUCUGUAACUCCUGUUUCGAGUUACUAAUCUUAGCAACCGAACAAGUAUCAAAUACUCAGGGGAUACUAUAAACACUAGUAAAGUACACAUCAAUAACCUGUAUAUCAAAUAUACCCUUGUUUACUUUGCCAUCCUUCUUAUCCACCAAAUAUUCAGGGCAUUUCCGCUUCGAGUGACCAUUUCCUUUGCAGUGUAAGCACUCAGUUUCAGGCUUUGGUACAGCUUUGGUCUUCUUCACGGGAGUGACAACUUGUUUGCCAUUCUACUUGAAGUUUCCCUUUCUUUCCCCUUGCCCUUUUCUUGAAACUAGUGGUCUUGUCAAUCAUCAACAUUUGAUGCUCUUUCUUGACUUCUACCUUCGUCGAUUUCAACAUCACAAAGAACUCGGGAAUCAUUUUCGUCAUCCCUUGCAUACUAUAGUUCAUCACGAAGUUCUAAUAACUUAGUGAUGGUGACUAGAGAAUUCUGUCAAUCACCAUCUUAUCUGGAAGAUUAACUCCCACUUGAUUCAAGCGAUUGAAGUACCCAGACAAUCUGAGCACAUGCUCACUUGUUGAGCGAUUCUCCUCCAUCUUUUAGCUAUAGAACUUGUUGGAGACUUCAUAUCUCUCAACUCGAGUAUUUGCUUGAGAUAUUAACUUCAAUUCCUGGAACAUCUCAUAUGGUCCAUGACGUUCAAAACGUCUUUGAAGUCCCGAUUCUAAGCCGUUAAGCAUGGUGCACUAAACAAUCAAGUAGUCAUCAUAUUGAGCUAGCCAAACGUUCAUAACGUCUGCAUCUGCUCCUGCAAUAGGUCUGUCACCUAGCGGUGCAUUAAGGACAUACUUCUUCUGUACAGCAAUGAGGAUAAACCUCAGAUCACGGAUCCAAUCCGCAUCAUUGCUACUAACAUCUUUCAACACAGUUUUCUCUAGGAACAUAUCAAAAUAAACAUAUAAAAGCAACAACGUGAGCUAUUGAUUUACAACAUAAUUUGCAAAAUACUACCAGGUACUAAGUUCAUGAUAAAUUUAAGUUCAAUUAAUCAUAUUACUUAAGAACUCCCACUUAGACAGACAUCUCUCUAGUCAUCUAAGUGAUUACGUGAUCCAAAUCAACUAAACCAUGUCCGAUCAUCACGUGAGACGGAGUAGUUUCAAUGGUGAACAUCACUAUGUUGAUCAUAUGUACUAUAUGAUUCACGUUCGACCUUUCAGUCUCCGUGUUCCGAGGCCAUAUCUGUAUAUGCUAGGCUCGUCAAGUUUAACCUGAGUAUUCCGCAUGUGCAACUGUUUUGCACCUGUUGUAUUUGAACGUAGAGCCUAUCACACCCGAUCAUCACGUGGUGUCUCAGCACGAAGAACUUUCGCAACGGUGCAUACUCAGGGAGAACACUUCUUGAUAAUUUAGUGAGAGAUCAUCUUAAAAUGCUGCCGUCAAUCAAAGCAAGAUAAGAUGCAUAAAGGAUAAACAUCACAUGCAAUCAAUAUAAGUGGUAUGAUAUGGCCAUCAUCAUCUUGUGCUUGUGAUCUCCAUCUUCGAAGCACCAUCGUGAUCACCAUCGUCACCGACGCGACACCUUGAUCUCCAUCGUAGCAUCGUUGUCGUUACGCCAUCUAUUGCUUCUACGACUAUCGCUACCGCUUAGUGAUAAAGUAAAGCAAUUACAGGGUGUUUGCAUUUCAUACAAUAAAGCGACAACCAUAUGGCUCCUGCCAGUUGCCGAUAACUUUGGUUACAAAACAUGAUCAUCUCAUACAAUAAAAUAUAGCAUCACGUCUUGACCAUAUCACAUCACAAUAUGCCCUGCAAAAACAAGUUAGACGUCCUCUACUAUGUUGUUGCAAAUUUUACGUGGCUGCUACGGGCUGAGCAAGAACCGUUCUUACCUACGCAUCAAAACCACAACAAUAGUUUGUCAAGUUAGUGCUGUUUUAACCUUCGCAAGGACCGGGCGUAGCCACACCUGGUUCAACUAAAGUUGGAGAAACAGACACCCGCUAGUCACCUGUGUGCAAAGCACGGCGGUAAAACCAGUCUCGCGUUGUACGCGUAAUGUCGGUCCGGGCCGCUUCAUCCAAAAAUACUGCUGAACCAAAGUAUGACAUGCUGGUAAGCAGUAUGACUUGUAUCGCCCACAACUCACUUGUGUUCUACUCGUGCAUAUGACAUCUACGCAUAAAACCUGGUUCUGAUACCACUGUUGGGGAACGUAGUAAUUUCAAAAAAUUUCCUACGCACAUGCAAGAUCAUGGUGAUGCAUAGCAACGAGAGGGGAGAGUGUUGUCCACGUACCCUCGUAGACCGAAAGCGGAAGCGUUAUGACAACGCGGUUGAUGUAGUCGUACGUCUUCACGAUCCGACCGAUCCAAGUACCGAACGUACGGCACCUCUGAGUUCAGCACACGUUCAGCUCGAUGACGAUCCCCAGACUCCGAUCCAGCAGGGUGUCGGGGAUGAGUUCCAUCAGCACGACGGUGUGGUGACGAUGAUGAUGUUUUACCGAUGCAGAGCUUCGCCUAAGCACCGCAACGAUAUGACCGGGGUGGAAUAUGGUGGAGGGGGGCACCGCACAUGGCUAAGGAACGAUCACGAAGAUCAACUUGUGUGUCAUGGGGUGCCCCCUGCCCCCGUAUAUAAAGGAGCAAGGGGGGAGGGGGCGGCUAGCCUAGGAGGGAGCGCGCCAUGGGGAGUCCUACUCCCACCGGGAGUAGGACUCCCUCCUUCCUUGUUGGAGUAGGAGAGAAGGAAAGAGGAGGAGAGGGAGAAGGAAAAGGGGGCUGCACCCCUUGUCCAAUUCGGACCAGAGGGGGGGGGGGCGCAUGCCUCCUUCCUUUUGGCCUCUCUCCUCUAUUCCCGUAUGGCCCAAUAAGGCCCAUAUACUCCCCGGCGAAUUCCCGUAACUCUCCGGUACUCCGAAAAUACCUGAAUCACUCAGAACCUUUCCGAAGUCCGAAUAUAGUCGUCCAAUAUAUCGAUCUUUACGUCUCGACCAUUUCGAGACUCCUCGUCAUGUCCCCGAUCUCAUCCGGGACUCCAAACUCCUUCGGUACAUCAAAACUCAUAAACUUAUAAUAAAACUGUCAUCGAAACCUUAAGCGUGCGGACCCUACGGGUUCGAGAACUAUGUAGACAUGACCUAGAACUGUUUCCUGUCAAUAACCAAUAGCGGAACCUGGAUGCUCAUAUUAGCUCCUACGUAUUCUAGGAAGAUCUUUAUCGGUCAAACCGCAUAACAACAUACGUUGUUCCCUUUGUCAUCGGUAUGUUACUUGCCCGAGAUUCGAUCGUCGGUAUCCAAUACCUAGUUCAAUCUCGUUACUGGCAAGUCUCUUUACUCAUUACGUAAUGCAUCAUUCCGUAACUAACUCAUUAGCUACAUUGCUUGCAAGGCUUAUAGUGAUGUGCAUUACCGAGAGGGCCCAGAGAUACCUCUCCGACAAUCGGAGUGACAAAUCCUAAUCUCGAAAUACCCCAACUCAACAUGUACCUUCGGAGACACCUGUAGAGAUCCUUUAUAAUCACCCAGUUACUUUGUGACGUUUGGUAGCACACAAGGUGUUCCUCCGGUAAACGGGAGUUGCAUAAUCUCAUAGUUGUAGGAACUUUGUAUAAGUCAUGAAGAAAGCAAUAGCAACAUACUAAACGAUCAAGUGCUAGGCUAACGGAAUGGGUCAAGUCAAUCACAUCAUUCUUCUAAUGAUGUGAUCUCGUUAAUCAAAUGACAACUCAUUUCUAUGGCUAGGAAACACAACCAUCUUUGAUCAACAAGCUAGUCAAGUAGAGGCAUACUAGUGACACUAUGUUUGUCUAUGUAUUCACACAUGUAUUAUGUUUCCGGUUAAUACAAUUCUAGCAUGAAUAAUAAAUAUUUAUCAUGAUAUAAGGAAAUAAAUAAUAACUUUAUUAUUGCCUCUAGGGCAUAUUUCCUUCACUCUCGCUGGGUGUAGAUAUCCACGAGAUGCCAUGGACUACCAGAUUGGUGGAUGAGGACAAUCCAGUUGGCCUUCAUGCCCGCCCAGUAGUGGCCGCGCAUGAAGGGCAGGUGGACGGGUAGUGGUAGCAUGUCGAGGGGCACCACGGCAACCUCCGUAGGAUCAUCAAGUCGGUGUCUGGGCCACCUACGAGGAUCGAGCAUCAACAAGCAGGGUGUCUUGAAAAGAGUCGGCCGGUUGCAGACGAGUAGACGGUACAAAGACACCGAGCAUGCGGCCAGACGGACGGUGCUUAGUAGGUCCAUACGACUACAGAUCUGCUCCAAGAGAACAUUGGGGAGGGAAUUCCAAUCGCGGCUCUGCGUGUCAGUCGGUUCUGCCAUUGGGGUUUUCGGAGCGGGGGGAUAUGGUACGCGCGAGCUACCAAGGAAGAUGGCGCGGGCGGGCGAGCAGUGAGCGGGGGUAAAUGGUGUGUGGCCGACGAUGGGGAAGAGAGGAGGAAGAAGAAGAGAGGAGGAAGAGGAAGAAGGAGGAAGAAGAAUGGAAGACGGGGAAGAAAGUGCAUUCAAUCUCAAUUCUACUAGUACUACUACCAGGAUAUAUGAAAGUGCAACUAUCCCUAGGUGGUUUUGGUAAUUCAUAACAACAUAUAGCUCAUUGAGCUAAUGCUAUUCCAAGACGAAUAUUUCAGGCAAGCUCAAUGAUUGGCAUGGCAUGGAUGAUGAAAGUGGAUCCCUCAAAAUAUUAAGGACAAAGGAUUGGCUCAAGCUCAAAAGCUCAAGACCCUACAUUUUACAUUUUAGUGAUCCAAGAUCACAUUGAGUCUAUAGGAAAAGCCAAUACUAUCAAGGAGGGAUGAGGUGUUGCUUAAUGAGCCUCUUGCUUCAUGUGCUUAGUGAUAUGCUCCAAAACCCUCCACUACUUUCUCACAUCCACAUAUGACCUAAACCUAAAGUCAAACUCGGCCCCAUCGAUUCUUUCUAUCCGGCGCCACCGAGUUCAAAUGUCAUAGCCACUGCCACAAACCAUAGGCAAAUCGGUCUCACCGAUAGGGAUCUCGGUCUCACCGAGAUGGGAUUGUAAUCUCUCUGUUUCCCUUCGUAACGUUUCGGUCUAACCGAAGUGAGCGAUCGGUCCCACCGAGAUUGCAAUGUAAACUCUCUGUUUCCCUUUCAUAACUUUUCGGUCUCACCGAAAGAGCAAAUCGGUCCCACCGAGUUUACCUGACCAACUCUCUAGUUAGCUAAUUACCAAAAUCGGUCUCACCGAGUUUGUGUAAUCAGUCUCACCGAGAUUACGUUAUGCCCUAACCCUAACCAUAUCGGUCCUACCGAGAUGCAUGGCAGUCCCACCGAAAACCCUAACGGUCACUAGGUUUACUAAAUCGGUCCGACCGAGUUUGUUGAUUUGGUCCCACCGAGUUUGGUAAAUUGUGUGUAACGGUUAGAUUUUGUGUGGAGGCUAUAUAUACCCCUCCACCUCCUCUUCAUUCGUGGAGAGAGCCAUCAGAACAAACCUACACUUCCAACUUACCAGUUCUGAGAGAGAACCACCUACUCAUGUGUUGAGGCCAAGAUAUUCCAUUCCAUCCACAUAAAUCUUGAUCUCUAGCCUUCCCCAAGUUGCUUUCCACUCAAAUCUUCUUUCCACCAAAUCCAAAUCCUGUGAGAGAGAGAGUUGAGUGUUGGGGAGACUAUCAUUUGAAGCACAAGAGCAAGGAGUUCAUCAUCAACGCACCAUUUGUUACUUCUUGGAGAGUGGUGUCUCCUAGAUUGGCUAGGUGUCACUUGGGAGCCUCCGACAAGAUUGUGGAGUUGAACCAAGGAGUUUGUAAGGGCAAGGAGAUCGCCUACUUCGUGAAGAUCUACCGCUAGUGAGGCAAGUCCUUCGUGGGCGACGGCCAUGGUGGGAUAGACAAGGUUGCUUCUUCGUGGACCCUUCGUGGGUGGAGCCCCCCGUGGACUCGCGCAACCAUUACCCUUCAUGGGUUGAAGUCUCCAUCAACGUGGAUGUACGAUAGCACCACCUAUCGGAACCACGACAAAAACAUCCGUGUCUCCAAUUGCGUUUGAAUCCUCCAAACCCUUCCCUUUACAUUCUCGCUAGUUGCAUGCUUUAAUUUCCGCUGCCAAUAUACUAUUUGCAUGCUUGCUUGAAUUGUGUGAAGAUUGCUUGACUUGUUCAAAGAUAGCUAAAAUCUGCCAAAGUCUAAAAUUGAGAAAAGGUUAAGUUUUUAUUGGUCAAGUAGUCUAAUCACCCCCCUCUAGACAUACUUCAAGGUCCUACAAGUGGUAUCAGAGCUUUGGUCUCCAUUUGCUUUGAUUUCCAUAGCUUUUGGUGGUCAUAGCCUUGGUUUCACAACCUAGGAGAGUAUGGCGUCUAGCGAGGGAAAUUAUCACCGUAGAGGUCCUUACUUUGAUGGCACUAAUUUUGCUAGUUGGAAGCAUAAGAUGAAAAUGCAUAUUCUCGGAAAUAACCCCGCCGUUUGGGCUAUUGUGUGUAUUGGUUUGCAAGGUGAAUUCUUUGAUGGGAGAGAACAGAACCGUGAAGCUAGCGCGGAAGAGUUGAAGAUGCUGCAAUACAACACUCAAGCUUGUGAUAUCCUUUUCAAUGGCUUGUGCCCCGAAGAGUUUAACAAAAUCAGCCGUCUUGAGAAUGCAAAGGAAAUUUGGGAUACUUUGAUUGAUAUGCACGAAGGUACCGACUCCGUUAAGGAAUCCAAGUUGGAUGUGCUCCAAAGUCAGCUUGACAAGUUCAAAAUGAAGGAUGGUGAAGGUGUCGCUGAAAUGUACUCUAGGCUUGCUCUUAUCAGAAAUGAGAUUGCCGGCUUAGGAAGUGAAGAGAUGACCGACAGAUUCAUCAUCAAGAAGAUCCUAAGAGCAUUGGAUGGAAUAUAUGAUACCAUGUGCACAUUGAUCCAAAUGAUGCCAAAUUACAAAGAUCUCAAGCCAACGGAAGUCAUUGGAAGAAUUGUUAAUCAUGAGAUGUCACUCAAGGAUAAGGACGAACUUCACAACAAGUCAAGUGGUGCUUACAGAGUCUCAUGUGAAGCCCCCACAUCAUCAAGUGAGAAACAAACCUUCAAUGAAGAAUUGAGCUUAAUGGUGAAGAACUUCAACAAAUUCUACAAGAGUAGAAGCAAAGAAAGAAGCUCUAAGUCAAGGUCCUACGAUGACAAAAGAUCUUCUAGUCGAGAGCGCAAUUGCUACAAUUGUGGGAGACCCGGACACUAUUCCAAUGAGUGUACGACACCCUACAAAAGAAGAGAAGAUUCUCCCAAGAGAAGAAGUAGAAGAGAAGAAUCACCACCAAGAGAGAGAAGGAGUAGAGAUGAUCGUUAUGAGCGAAGACCCUCACGGAGAGGCAAGGAUUCGGAAAGGAAGGACAAGUCAUCAAAGAGCUACACAAAACAAAGACAUCAAGCUCAUGUUGGUGAAUGGGUAUCCGGCUCCGACUCCGACAAUCACUCCGAGAGAAGCUAUCACUCCGACUCCGAAUACACUCAAGAUGAAGGUGUUGCCGGUCUAGCACUUGUGUCAACCAACUCCUACGACAUAUUUGAUUCACCAAAUGAAGGAAUUGGAAGAUGCUUCAUGGCCAAAGGUCCUAAGGUAACACACCCCGAGUAUGUUGAUUUUAAUAGUUAUGAAGAUGACUUGCUAGGUGAUGAUGAUUUACUUGUUGACAACUCUAGUGAUGAAUACUAUGAUGAAACGUCAAUUAAUCAUGCUAAUCAAGAUGAAAUGAAUGACAAUGAUAAGGAGAAGAUUGAGCGUCUAACUAAAGAACUAAACACUCUUAAGUUAGCUCAUGAAACUAUCUUCGAAUAUCAUCGAGAACUUUUAAGGGCUCAUGAGAAGUUACGCUUUGAAAAGCUCAAUCUUGAGCAAGAGCAUGAGUUCUUAAAGGCAAUCAAUGAUGAUCUCCGUAAGAGAAGUUCUUCUUACAUUGCCAAGCGUUUACUCUUAUCUACUUACAUGCCUCAAGUCAAGUCUAGUAACAAGAACAAGAAAGAUUCUUCCUCUAGUAGUAACAAUAAUAAUGCUAAAUCCAAUAUUGUUGCUUCUAGUAGUUCUCUUGAUCCCACUAAUGACCCUCUUAGCCAAGUUACACUUGAGCAAGAAAACAGCUUAUUGAAGGGAAUUACAGAGAAAGGUGUAUACAAGAGCCUUGCCAGGAGUAAGCAAUUCAAGGAAAUUGUACGCAAGCAAGGAAGGCACCGGAAGAAUCAAGGUGUUGGUUUUGAACGAAAGUUCAAUGCCAAUGGAGUUGAGUGGGAAGAAGAUCAAUACCCCAAGACGAAGUUUGUUCCUCAACAAGAGAAGUAUGAUCCUACUUCCUUCAAGGGAACACAAGCACAAGAUGAUCUUCCACCACAAGACCACAAGAACAAAGCCAAGGACAAGCUUCAAGAGGAGAUUGAUGCAUUUGAAGAAGCACCUAAGGCCUUGGUCAAGUGGGUUCCCAAGACUACGUCAAGUUCUACUUCAUCAAGUACAACUACUACACCAAGGAUUCCCAUCAAGAUGGCGUGGAUCCCGAAGAAGAAGAACUAGAGAGUUCUUUAGGGCGACUCCGCCAACAUUAUUCACUCAUAUCAUUAUGGCAAGGACAAGUGCAAUCAACUUCCAUAUCUUGCACUAGUUCAAGGAGUCACAAACCCUCAUGUUGGUAAGGCAAGGGACAAGGUAACCUAAUGUUUUCAUGGACAUCAUUUUGUGUGUGCAUCACUCUAUGUCUAUGGAUAUUCUUGUUUGUUCCUUGUGGGACUAACCCAUGUAGGUAUUGAAAGUGCAACUCAUUCCAAAGGAUUUCUCCAAAAGAUCUACAUCAACAUUGAGCAUCCACAUCUUCAACACCUACAUGAAGUCAUCAUCGACAAAACCCAAGGUUAGUUCAUCCCUCUAAGGGGGAUCUCACAUCUAGGGGGAGCUUAACUCUAAGAAUUGAGUCAAAGCAACUCUAAUGAUGUGAACACAUAAAUGCUUUAUGUAAAAGUGGUAACCCCACUUGAGCUUAAACGAUGAGUAUGACCUAUGGUCAAAUGUUCUCAUUUGACUCCUAAGUCAAUAUACUCAUAUAUAGAUGACCUAGUCAUCGCCAAUUGUUUGAUAGAUGCUAGAAUUGGUUGUGCAUGCUUUGUCACAUAUUUCAUUUGCCAUUUUAUUGUGUGAGCAUGUUGGUUGCAUAUUUUACUCAUUCGAGGACAUCCACUUGUUGUUUUGAUUGAUUGGCUUCUUUUUCUUUGGCCAAGUGGAUGGACAAGAAUGCCUAAGAACCUUCUCUAGCUAUCUAUGCUUUUCUCAUCUUGAACUCUAUUCAUGCUACAUCACAAAAUUUGAUCAAGUAAGAUUCGAACCACUCUGUGUGAGGAGCACUCGGAGUCCCCAAUUCAUCAUAGACUUAAACUUCCAAAACUUCUUUGUGAUUUUCAGUCUGCCAAUUCCUCCAUUUCGGUCAUAUCGAGAUUACUGAGUCGAUCUAGGUUUUCAUCUCGGUGCAACCGAUUUGUACUUUUCGGUCACACCGAGUUGCUGUAACUGUUAACAGUUAUGCAUCUCGGUGCCACCGAGUUGUACCACUCGGUCACACCGACAGUGUCGGGCUAUAUAUUCACACGGGCAAAUUUUGGAAAACUUUCUCCGAAACUCCUCACCCGCGCAUAGCUCGCUCUGCCGUCUACGGAUCGUCGACUUCAUCGCCAGCCGCCUCCUGUCGCUGGUCUCCGCCGCUGUCAACGGGAUUCUUCUCCGCCGUUGCCGCCGUAGCGAGUUCCCGCCGAACUAGGGUAUGAACUCGAUCAGAGUGCUUUCCUUGUCUGAUUCUCAACACAUUGUGUUCGUUAUGCAUCUUGCCACGAUUGAAACACUCCUAUCCAGUCAAAUCAAUCCUUAGAAUAGUUGUGAUUCAAAAAUUUAGGGUUAGGUUUCCGCCGAAACCAUCUCGGACCCACCGAGUUGAAAAACUCGGUUCCACCGAUUUGGCUAACGCCAUUGCACUAGUAAGUCUCGGUCUGACCGAGAAUUGCGAAUCGGUGUGACCGAUUUUAGAACUUUGUGAAACCCUAGCAGUCUCGGUGCCACCGAACUAUGACUCGGUCUGACCGAGUUCACUAGUUUAGGUUCCAAAACUGUUUUGGUAUCACCAAGUUUGAAAAUCGGUAGAUCCGAAAUGCUUUCAGUGUGAAACUAAAACUAAGUUUUUGAAUCAUUCGUUUGCAAAAAUCUCUGCAUUUUGUGAUGCUCAUCCACUCUACCUCAUCUAUAACUAUUCACAGCGUCAACAGUUAGUGUGAGCAGCAUGUCAGACCAAAGUGAUAGCCAGAACAAAUCAGAAGAGCAGAUCCAAUUGAGUGAGGGCACUAGUCCCUCAAGGAGCUCAGAUGAGGGGAGCAGAAGCACUCCCAGCAAUUUGCCCAAGGCUGCCACAAGGACAAGGAAGAAGAAGACCUCAGAGUCCGAGGAUGAGGAUUAUGUGGCAGUUGAGGAUGAUGCAAGCUCAAAGAAGAAAUGCUCAAGAGGGAGUACAACUCAACAGCAGUUAAGCCUGGAUUGAAGAUCAAAAGGCCAGCAGGUAGACAACCAAUGUCCAAAGCCAGAGUCUCUACUCAAGCUUCUUUGGAAUCCCAACCCAAAGAGCCUGCUGCUGCUGAAGGAAAGAAAAGGAAAGAAAGGGUCAAGAAGACCAUGGCUAGAGUGAUUGGAAAGCCUUCCAUGAUUGAAGAGGAAGAAGAAGAAGAGGUUGGUGAACCAGCACCCAAGGCACAAAAGCUGAUGGGUGAUGCUAUCAAAUCAGGGGCUGCAACUUCAAAGCCCAAAGCUGCCCCCAAGCCCAAGAGUGCACCUAAGAGAAAUACCAGGAGCAUGCCUGCAGCUGAAAAGAACAAGGCCCCAAUGCCAGAGGUUGAUCCUGAGGGAGAUGAAGAAGGGCAGGUCCUAAGGAAGCUCAAACCCAAGAUUCCAGACCACAAUGAUGCUCAUCCUGUGGCUGAGAACAUGAAGAUCAGGAGAGAUCUAGGGUUGAGGCUAUGGAGAGAGGCAGAUCCAUAUGCCACCAGGAGAAGGACUACUGUAGAUUACAGGUUCCACACCAAGGAGCAGCAGGACUUCUAUGAGACUAUUUUCUUGGAUAAGAAGCCCAUAGUUUGAGAUAUGAGGUGGGUCGACUGGACCUACAUUCAGGAGAACGCAAAACACUAUCCUGGAGUAUAUGACAACUUCAUUGCGUGUGGAGUUGCAGAUUUUGUUGGGCAGAAGCUCACAAACUGGAAUGACGAGCUCAUUAUGCAAUUCUACACCACAACACACUUCUAUCCAGAUGGCAGGAUAGUUUGGAUGUCAGAAGGAACGAGAUACCAGUCAACCAUAGAGGAAUGGGCAAGUCUGAUCAAUGCCCCAAAGGAAAGUGAAGAUGACUUGGACAUUUAUGCCAAUAAGAAGAUGGGUCACAACUCAAUGUCACAGAUGUACAAGGAGAUCCCAGAUGAUGCACUUGAGACUUUCAAGUUCGGAUCAGUUCAUUUUCUCUUGUCAGGGCUGCCUGCGAUCAACUGGAUCUUAAGGCAUACUCUGUUGCCCAAAUCAGGUGACCACAACAUGAUCAGAGGGCAUGCAAUCAAUUUGCUUCACAUUUUUGAUGUGCCUCAGAAAUUCAAGGUCAUGAGCCUCAUAGUUGAGACUAUUAAGAGGACAGCAGCAGACCAGAAGAGGAGCUGUGGAUAUGCCCCAUAGAUUCAGGAGUUGAUUAACUCGAAGAUGGGCACAGGGAAGUAUCUGUUGUAUAAGGAACACAUGGUUCUCUAUCCUGAAUUUGAGGACAAUCGAGUUGUCAUGACUGAGAAUGAACCAUCAUCAGUACAAGCUCAAGAGAGGAAGGAGAAGGCAAGGAAAGAGAAGGCUGCCAAGAUGCCCACUCUAGCAGAGGCAUCUGAGUACUUUCUGAAGAACAAGCAGGAGCAACUUGGUUACUUGAUAGCAUCAACUCUGCGAAUUGAGAAGGGGUUGGCCACCCUAACUCAAAACCAGGAGAGCCUAGAGAGAAUCAUGGAACAAAAAUUCUAUGAUCUUGAUGUCAAAGUGACUGAGAUUCAGUCAGCUGUGGAGCAACUACAAGAUGAUAUGCAGGAGAGGAAGGGCAAGAAAACAACUGAGGCAUUUGCCAGAGUGCCUAGAGCUCAGAGGUCAGCUGCAGUGCCAGUGACAGACACCAGAGCCACUUCUUCAGCUCCAGCUACAGCUCCAGCACAACCAGCUCUAGCACCAACUCCUUCAUCUCCUACCAUGUCUACUGAUGCCUUCGUCCUUGGAGUCCUAUCUACACCACCACCAGAAGACCAAGCUUGAGAGACGACAUAGUCCUAUGCAUUUUCUAGGAACUUUUUGGUAACUUGUUGCCAAAGGGGGAGAAAAAUGUAUAGAUCAUAGGCUUCGAGAGAGAGAGAGAUUUGCUUUUGUUCUCUCUUGUCUUCUUGGUUGAACUUUAUUUGCUUUUGAUUGCUUGAGAUACUAUGCUUUUACCUGUGAGACAUUGAUGAUCAUGUGUUUGAUCAUAAGCUACACUAAUGCUUGUUAUGAUAUUAUCUUAUUUAUCCUUAUAUGAUCAUUCACUGUGCUUGGUGAUGAGUGCAUGUAUUCAAUCUUUAUUAUUUUGAGCGCUCCACCAAGAUGUAUGUGACAUGGAAGAGUAACCCAUGAGCCCAAUUCCUUGUGCAUUUGCAGUCCAAAGCAAAUCUUAAAAUAUGCACAAAUUUAGGGGGAGCUCUUGCUUAUCACAUACUUCUCAAAGCGACGAUGUUUUUCAACUUUAUUAUCAUUUGUUGAAGCUUUGAUCUAUAUGUUGUCAUCAAUUACCAAAAAGGGGGAGAUUGAAAGUGCAACUAUCCCUAGGUGGUUUUGGUAAUUCAUAACAACAUAUAGCUCAUUGAGCUAAUGCUAUUCCAAGACGAAUAUUUCAGGAAAGCUCAAUGAUUGGCAUGGCAUGGAUGAUGAAAGUGGAUCCCUCAAAAUAUUAAGGACAAAGGAUUGGCUCAAGCUCAAAAGCUCAAGACUCUACAUUUUACAUUUUAGUGAUCCAAGAUCACAUUGAGUCGAUAGGAAAAGCCAAUACUAUCAAGGAGGGAUGAGGUGUUGCUUCAUGUGCUUAGUGAUAUGCUCCAAAACCCUCCACUACUCUCUCACAUCCACAUAUGACCUAAACCUAAAGUCAAACUCGGCCCCACCGAUUCUUUCUAUCCGGCGCCACCGAGUUCAAAUGUCAUAGCCACUACCACAAACCCUAGGCAAAUCGGUCUCACCGAUAGGGAUCUCGGUCUCACCGAGAUGGGAUUGUAAUCUCUCUGUUUCCCUUCGUAAUGUUUCGGUCUAACCGAAGUGAGCGAUCGGUCCCACCGAGAUUGCAAUGUAAACUCUCUGUUUCCCUUUCGUAACUUUUCGGUCUCACCGAAAGAGCGAAUCGGUCCCACCGAGUUUACCUGACCAACUCUCUGGUUAGCUAAUUACCAAAAUCGGUCUCACCGAGUUUGUGUAAUCGGUCUCACCAAGAUUACGUUAUGCCCUAACCCUAACCAUAUCGGUCCUACCGAGAUGCAUGUCAGUCCCACCAAAAACCCUAACGGUCACUAGGUUUACUAAAUCGGUCCGACUGAGUUUGUUGAUUCGGUCCCACCAAGUUUGGUAAAUUGUGUGUAACGGUUAGAUUCAUCAGAACAAACCUACACUUCCAACUUACCAGUUCUGAGAGAGAACCACCUACUCAUGUGUUGAGGCCAAGAUAUUCCAUUCCAUCCACAUAAAUCUUGAUCUCUAGCCUUCCCCAAGUUGCUUUCCACUCAAAUCUUCUUUCCACCAAAUCCAAAUCCUAUGAGAGAGAGUUGAGUGUUGGGGAGACUAUCAUUUGAAGCACAAGAGCAAGGAGUUCAUCAUCAACACACCAUUUGUCACUUCUUGGAGAGUGGUGUCUCCUAGAUUGGCUAGGUGUCACUUGGGAGCCUCCGACAAGAUUGUGGAGUUGAACCAAGGAGUUUGUAAGGGCAAGGAGAUCGCCUACUUCGUGAAGAUCUACCGCUAGUGAGGCAAGUCCUUCGUGGGCGACGACCAUGGUGGGAUAGACAAGGUUGCUUCUUCGUGGACCCUUCGUGGGUGGAGCCCUCCGUGGACUCUGCAACCCUUACCCUUUGUGGGUUGAAGUCUCCAUCAACGUGGAUGUACGAUAGCACCACCUAUCAGAACCACGACAAAAACAUCCGUGUCUCCAAUUGCGUUUGAAUCCUCCAAACCCUUCCCUUUACAUUCUCGCAAGUUGCAUGCUUUAAUUUCCGCUGCCAAUAUACUCUUUGCAUGGUUGCUUGAAUUGUGUGAAGAUUGCUUGACUUGUUCAAAGAUAGCUAAAAUCUGCCAAAGUCUAAAAUUGGGAAAAGGUUAAGUUUUUAUUGGUCAAGUAGUCUAAUCACCCCCCCUCUAGACAUACUUCAAGGUCCUACAAUAUACCGUCCUUCGGAGUGUAAAUAGUUACACCGAUGACAUGUGGGUCUACCACAACAGGGCCCAUAUGUCAGUUAAUGGAGGACAGAGGUGCGUAGGCGUAUUUGCGGAAGCGUGCUCUACUGGCAAACAUGAUGGCAGUACUGGGUAAGGCUGAUUUAGUAACACCAACACGCUGGUUCAGCUUAUUAAUUACGUGUCCCAUCUGCUGCAGCGUGUAUUGUCACUUCACUGCGAAGACUAGUUGAAUAGUUCUCUCUGACCGAGAUGGGGAAUAAAUGGAUCGCGAGGACUUCCUUUCUACAGUAUCCCUAUGCCUCUAUGCUCACUUCACUCAUUUUGCUCCGUACCUAGUCACUUGUUGAAAUCUGUAGAAAGACAAAUACUCCGUAUUUGAGAACAGAGGGAGGCUUUUACUCCGUACUACUCCCUCCAUUCCAAAAUAGAUGACUCAACUUUGUACUAUAUUUGGGAACAGAGGGAGUAUCACCAUAUGGAGGGAACAAAGGAAGCUUGAAAUAUGAACAUGUCAAGGGGAGGGAGUAAGCCCCAUGCAUGCAUGCAUGCAUGCAACAUGCAACACUCACACAUACACAUGGACGCACGCAACACUCACGCACCCAUGCGGCACACAGCACACGACACAACACACACGCUCACGCUCAAGUGCUCAACCUACUCCCUACGUCUGUGAAAGACUGUACAUUUAGAGAUUUACACAUUGACCAGGGCAUAAUUAACGCCCAAAAGUAGCAGACUUAUGUGUGCAUGCGACCAUUGAGAUAAGAAGAUUAAAUGAAGGCCGUUGAAUGCUGUAAUUAAGCAUAGACAUGUAGCCUAUACCUAUAGCACAAGUUGGUGCAUUAGUCAAUCAAUAUCGAUUUAGUAGAUUAAAGGCUAAAUGCAUUGGAAGUGUAGAUGUACAUCAUGUAGUACACUCUUUGCUGGAAGACCAAGGGAGGACACAUGCAUGCACUCACAUACACAGCCAGGGCGGUUCGCGCGCAAGGGUUGGACUCGUGUCGUGCCUGUGUAAAGUUUUGUUUAACUGAUUUCUUUGCUCUGCCAACUGACAGGUGGGACCUAGAAACGAGGUGACAAUUUAACCAGUCAACAAAGUGCCACGUCGACUAUGUGGCCGGUCAGUAGGGUGCAAUACGGUGCUCUACGAUGAGCUAGUGAUCGCAUAAUCGCCGCAAAACUAUAUAUAGUGACCGUAAAGAGUGUACUGUUACAUACGUUGACCGUCAGUGUAUUUUCUCGUUUCAAAUUAAGCCAUAUUAAUCAGAAAGGACGCAAUAUGGACUACUACUACUAGUACUAGUACUACUUUGAUGUGUCCCGUCAACUCGCCGAACGAGGAGAAGCUUGCUUACUACGCCUCUCCCUCGCCCACGCGCGCGGUGGUUCGCAGGACGAGGAGAGGGUUUUGACUACAGCGCCCUCUCCCUCUCCCUCUCCCUCUCCCUCUCCCUCGCCCUCGCCCUCGCGGUGGACGUGCAGCAGUUCAAUCGGUGUCAGAUUGCCAGAAGCAUAUUGUACUAUAGUAUCAGCAUUGUUGGACCUUCCGAAGAGGCGAAGAGCCAAGUGCAAGGUUCACACGAGUACGAACUGUUGAACCUCCCAAAGAGGCAAAGAGCCAAGCGCAAGGUUUUAUAGGAGUUUUCGUCCUAGUAGGAGUGUACUAGUACAACUAUAGCAAAUGAUGCUACUGUAUGAUGCCGCCACGUCACGUAUAUCCAAAGUUGUGCCACCUUUUUUUCUCAAAGAGCGUGUUGGAGCCCGUGCAACAACCACACAAGUUGCACGUAGACAUAACACAUUUACUAGUAAUAAAUUCUAAAGGACAAAUGCAAGUAUGCCACACAAGUUCAUCUCCAACUCAUGUGAUAAAUUUGUGCACGACUAGUCUACAUAUAUUCACAGCGCUACUGUUCACAAUUACCGUACUCCACUUACACGUUAUAGAUGGGCUACAUGUCCUCCUCCAGGUUCCAGUCCCAGGUGUUCUUCAUGGAUGGCACGAUCCAUAGCGGUGGGCAACGGGAAUCAUUGUCGCAGCUUUCUAGUCCGGUUCCACACGAUGGAGACUCAUCCAAGCUGAAGCGGCAUAAAUCAGGGAUAGCGUGUCCCAGCAUGUCGUUCAUCCGGCGGUGCGCACUGAAGACACAACCAUGCUUCAUGAAUGGCAGGCCUUCCGUGUCGUGCAUGGAAGGUGGCAUGCACUUCACAAUGGGGUAGCUGUCCUCGAUGAAAAGCUAGUACUCUCCAAGAGUGUUCCUCGGCACCCACGUAGCAUCACGGGGGUCGAACUCGGCGCCGUUCAUCUGGUACACGCGGCAUCCCAGAUCUGGAGACAUGGUGACGUACAUAGUCAAGGUCCAUGCAUAAUAAUGUUGUGCUCAAAUGUGGCAGUCAGUAAUACUGUGCAGCAAAUAGUACUACUCCGGUAUAGAGGAAGUAAAAUAACCGGCUUAUUAUAUAUAGCCACUCUUGGCUACAUGGAUGAGAUAGUAAGACAUGGAAAAACAAAAAUGGUGGCAGCUAGUGGGUUCAAGUCUUCAAGGGCCUAGCUAGCUAUACAUGUCCUCCAAGGUAAAAAGUACUCCUACUAGUACUACAAAGUAUACUACUAGUACAACAAUGAAAGAGAAGGCGAGAGGGUUAAAAAAUGGAAUACCUGGGUAGAUGGUGACGGUCUGAUCAUGGUAGAUUAUGUGACCAUGUUGCACAUCAGUGGUACCAUGGGUAACGACUGCUAAGAUAGUUGAUCCCAAUAUGCCAAAGUCAGCUACAAGGUUCCAGGUUAGACCGAAUUGCGGAUGCAAAUGCACAUCCAGGAUCGACGAUCUUAUUUUGAUCGGGGGAUGACUGGUCCUUGCAAAAUAAUGGAGUACUGUUAGGGAUGCAAAUGAUGGUUUGUGCAUUCCGUUUGUAAUCUCCCGUACCGUAGGAUGUCAACCAGAUGAACAAGUCCCCUGGCUUGUCACCGCAAAGAUGCGGCCUAGAUGGCGCACAACGUCUUCGAACAUGUAGGGGUACAAAUCUGCUGCCGCCAACAUGCGCCAGCCUCUGCCGUUACUGCCUCCUGCAUUGAUGGCAAUCCUUAUGUCGAACACCGUGAUGAGAUAGUAAUCGUCGUAGUCGCGUCGCUUUGUCGGUGGGUCCACAAUUGCUAUCUUCUUCAAUCUCAUGUAGGCAUCAUCAUACGUAUUCUUGCCCAGCCAGUCCGGAAGGCCGAUCCCAAUGGCGGAGAAGGGGUCUACCGAAACGGCUGCACUGCUGUGGAUGUUGUGUAAAAUCAUGGUGGUAUCCGGCCGGAGGUAUGCAAGCCAAUCUUCGUUGGCACCGACCCAGACCUAUAUAUAAGACGGUGGGCAGCGAAGAAAUUACGGGAUGGAAAUGGAAUAACUAAGUACUACAUGAUCAAACUCCAUUACUGACCUGCUCAUCGGACAAAAUUCGACUACCUCUCAUCGUCGUCAACUCUAGCGGAGUUAACGUGCAACCAUGGCCAGGGAGCGGUGGACUGUUCGAAGAAUUGUCCCAUAGAAGAACCUUCUCCUCGAGGACGCAUGGAAGACCAACAAGCAUGGCCUUUUCCCAAGCCUGUUUAAGCAGCGUCUUGAAAAAGUUGGUGCAGGAAGCACUGAGUCUUGCGGCGGUGAGGACGUCGGAGCGGCGUGCGAUUUCUCCCAGAGAAUCAUCGUCCAAGGUCUCCCAGCCCCGACGAGGAGGAGAACCGCCUGGCGAAUCCAUGGGAGCAGCGACGAACUGCCUUCUCUUCGGGGGGAGGGGAACUGGUGAGGAGGAGAUAAGAGCGUAGUAACCGCAAGGCCUCGUCCCUUCCAACUGUAGAUCGUUCCUCAGCGAAGGGGUGAGGCUAUUAUUUACUACUCUAAAUAAUAGCACUAGUAAGAAAUUUUUGGCACUAGGUAGUAGUUUUUGGUACCAUGGAGUACUAGUACUAGCAUUAUGGAACGUUUUGGGAUUGCAUUAUACUAUAAAUAAUAGCACUAGUAAGAAAUUUUUGGCACUAGGUAGUAAUUUUUGGCGUGGAUUAAGAAAUUUUGUGUAUGUUUUUGCCCUUUUUUGUACACGCCAACUAGUGUCAAAAAACGUUGUACAUUAUGUGACGGAGGAGUACGUACUCGUACUGUAGCAGUACUAGUACUACUUUUAUCAACUACUCCUAAAAAAAGCACCCAAUUAAUGCUCUUGUUUUCCUCAAAAAAGUAUGUUUACCAAUGCAUUAAUUGCAAUGCAUGCAUGCAUAAAUUACAUUCAUUGGUCAAUUUUCUCUUAAUACUUGCAUGCAAUGAUUUAAUGCACCUUGGAAUCUGAACAUGUGAUGGGAAACAACCAAAUUGAGCCUUAUAAAAUGGAAAAACUAAAAUUUUGAGAUGAGCCCUAUAAACCGGAAAGGAGGGAGUACUGUACUUCUAGUCUAGUCUUGUAUAGUGCACCAGUUUUGAAAUCUUGAAUCUCAGGGCCAAGGAGCUACAGUUGGAAGUGGAGGGUACUACUGUUCUCUAGAACCAUCACUGUACUAUCAAUACAGGGGAAGUACACCUGCGUAGUGGCCUAGUGGGUACUCUCGGUGCUCUAUUCAGCCGCUCCUCUCACGUAGCUGGCCUACUCAGCCGCUCCUCUCACGCACACACUAGCAGCCUGUUUAUCAGCGACAGUUACUGCGGGGGCAGAACAUUUGAGUUAUUUGAUACAGCGAGACUAGGCUUUUCGCUUCCAUUUGUGGAGGUGUAAUGGAUCUCGUCGAACUUUGUUAGUAGUUCCUUCUUUAUGAAUGAGAUGAAGCAAAGCUUUUGCCUCCGUUUCAAAAAAACACGUCAAGAGGAAUUUCUUUUAUAGUAGAGCCGAUAAUGGAGUGAAGUCCAUGCAUGCAACGCCACAAGCUACAGAGUAGUAGUAGAGCACUUUACGUACAGAGCCAUAUUGCACAGUUCCCAAUGCCCCGCCAGGCUUUUCCGGCUCCUUGGGCUUAAUUGGGAGGCGCUAGUUUAAAUAUGCUACUAGCUGGAAGCUGCAAGCGAGGUGCGGCUAGGGCGAGCACGCGAGCCACGAGAUGCUGGGAAGGAAAACCCGUUCACGUGGCUUGGCUAUCCAGUGCACCCAGAUUGUGGGGCCGCACGUCCGUUUAACUUCAAAACUCAAACUACCCGUGUAAAAUAUUGGCUCGCAGCGAAGUGUAGUAGUAUACUAUUUUUUUAAAAAAGGCCGCCGUGUGUUCGGCCGGGAUCGAAUCCACAAUACGAAGUAUACACUCCCGCGACCACUAGUAGUACUCGUUGGAGUACAACGCAACCUAGAAUCGCCUUUUGUCGCUAGUAGUACGUACAUUGUUCCUUACAAGAAACCCCUAAGAGCAUGGUUAAUAGUAUAGCCAGCUGCUGGCUAUAAGCUAGUGCCCUAUCAUCUACAGCCCAUCUUAUAGCCAACAUGUAGUAGUAGUUUAUUUCUUAUAGCCCGCUGACUCAGCUCUAUUGUACUUGCUCUAAUAAUGCAAGAAACCACUAAAAUGCCAAGAAACUACUACCACUUGCAAACGUCGCAGACUUAAGAUAAGACUACCUUAUCAACCAUUGUACAUGCUCUUACCAACAAAAAUCCUCGAGUGACCUCCUACCUCCGGCCCGUCCACCUAGUCAUCCUCGGCCAUGGGACGCAGCUACCGCCGCCGGCAGAAGGCGAGGUCAAAACCGCCGGUGGUGCGGAGCCCAUGUUGCGGCAGCCCGAAUGCCAGCUCCGUCCGGCGCUCGCGGCCGCUAGCUAGCCAAGAUAGCUCUGUCCAGCCGCUUGUCUGCAAGGUUUGCUAGCUAGAUUGGCACAGCAGCGCGGCGGCUUGCUCGCGCGCGCCGCGCUAAGGCGAGCCAUCUGGCUCGAGUGAAGGCCAGCGCGGCGGCUUGCUCGCUCGUGAGUCACGCUCGGGCUGGCCUGCCAGCCCGUGCGGAGGCCAGCACGGCGUCCGGCCCGUCCGACGGAGCGACAGCCAACUCGCUCAUCACCGGCGCCACCGACGAACACACAUCAGUACUGUUUGAAGUAAUGUUCACGAAAAAUAAUGAUUUGAGGGGGAAUAACAGGAUAGAAGGUCAGAUGUGGGUCCCUCGUGUCAACGGUCAAACAAAAUGUGUUGGUUUAAGCUGCCUCAUCAGCACAGACAUGUGGGCCAUCCCUAUCAUAAAUGGGUUUAAACGAACCUAAUCGGUAGGAGUACUAGGUAGUUUUGGCGUGGAUUAAGAAAUUUUGGGUAUGUUUUUGCUAUUUUUUGUACAAUAGAUUCCUCCUAGGGCUGGUUAAAAGUGGUAGUUUUUUGUUAAAUACUCUACAUAUUGUAAGUAGGAGUGAAAGUUAAGCUUUGGAAGCCAAUAAGCAAGGCUAGUUACAUAGUGCAUAUAUACAUGAUUGAAAGUAAAUAUCAACCAUGAGUGACUAAUAUCUUGAUGGAAAACUCGAAACUAUGGAAUACUAGGAAAAGAAAUGCAUGGUUGGAAAUACUAGCAAUGUUCAUGUCCGUUGCAAUGGAUCAUAAUUAGAAUAAUACUUAUUCACAAACUUGGUACAAAACACUCUAAUUUUGAUAUACAUAUGUCACUAGAGAUAUAUUAUGUUUCAAUUAGAAUAUAUUCCUUGGGCUGUUUUGGUGAGGUCAGGGAGGGAUGUGGUUGGUUUUAAGAUACUAAUUAUGGGUUUUUCUGCAAAUUGGUAGACAAGUGGGAUGUUGGUGAGAAAAGGCAACAACUUACCUCACAAUCUUUAGAUGUAGAUCUAAUGGUCAGAAACGACGGAUGGCAGACACACCAGCAUCACCAACUUAGUCUUGUGUAGGAGUACUAGCAAGAUCCAUGCAUUGCACGGAACAUCAAGAUGCAUUUUUUUAUAAAACACUUGUUGUGAUUGACCCUUGUGGUAGUAAUCCCAUGUGUAAAAACUAAUGAUAUCUCGAGAAAUAUGAGAUAAGGUGAAGAGGAGUGGGGUGUGGUGGUGGUUGGUGGUUGGACUGAGCUGAGGCAUGGGGAUUGACGAUGCCGGCAGCGGCCACCAGGCCAGUUUGUUCCAGAGGCUUCCUUUAUUAAUUGCUCAACAGUGAGGUUUGUUGGAGAUAAUGAUGAACGAGGGAGGGCCUUGUCUGCAAAUGUGGAGAGGGGUGCGGGUAUCUUUUAGUUUAAUUUCCAUCCGUCAGAUAUAGAUUGGACGGUCUAUAUUGCAAGAUGGCACACGUACCAUCAUCACCAACUCGGUUUUUAUAAGAGAAGAAAUAUAAGUAUGGAGAUACAAACGUAGUAUCGAUACUUGCUUCCGUAAACUAGCAUCUACAUUCUAUUCAAUGCCUCGGCAUGUGGGGCCUUAGCACAAUGACUUCUCGAUUGUGUAAAACGAAGAUUUUCCCGUCGCCGACAAGGAGGGGGUGACGGCGGCGCGCUUUUUGGCUUGCUCUAGUCCUAGUAGUCAUACUAGGUGGUCUAAGCACGUGCAGAUUUAUUCUUUUUCACGUCUCGUGUUCGCUGUACUGCCACGACUGUUCAUGAAUAGAGGUAAGUUAUUCACCGGGAAACCCUUGUUGAGCGUGUUUGCGAGAGAGAGAGAGAGUGUGUGUGUGCGUGUGUGAUAUGUUAGAGACUGAGGCAAUGAUAAAAGAUUCUUUGUGUCUAUGUGUGUGGAGGAUAGAGAGAGACAUGUACAUGGCGCUUUGUGUUGUGUAAUGUGGAGACACAUAUACAUAAUUAGAGAGUGAGUGUGUGAGAUACACAUGCGGACAUGAGGAGAGAUGAGGAUCCAGGUAAAUGGGUGUUUGUGCGUGUCUAUGUGUGUUUGUGCACGCGUUUGUGUGUGAGAGGCAGAGAGUGUAUGUGGAGUAGAGAGACCACUGAUGAUGUAAACCUAGUAUAAGGGAAGGGGGGAUGGUGUGACAUGUGUAGUAGCGAGAUAGCACGGGUGCGGGCGGGGGGAGCAGACUAUUUGGAAGAGACAUCGAGUGUGUGUGUGGGAGAGGGGUGUGAGAGCGAGAGAAAGAGAGAGCUAGUGAUGGAGAGAGAGAGAGAGGAAGAGAUGGGGCGAGAGGGGUCGUUUGUGUCCAUAAAUGGCGUAUAGAUAGGGAGACAAUGUUGAUGUUGUCCGAAAUUGGCCUAUGAACGGAGAGGCAAGGGAAGCAAGUCAUCGUGUGUGUGAUAGGGACUUCAUGAGAGAUCUAGAAUAGAUGGUGUAGAGAACAAUGUGCGAAAUCGAGAACGAUUAUACAUUAGGGAGCUAUGCAAAGAGUCACGACAUAUAUGUAUGUAGGGAAAGAGCUGGGGCGGGUCCGCAUGUGGGAGAGAUAGAAAGAGGAGAGUGGUGCACAAGGAGACAAAGUGUGCUUGUUUGCAGUGGGGGUGGUGUGUGAGGUGAGUGCGCGAGAACCACAUAACUAGGGAGAUAGACGUUUGGGGGUGACGUUUUGUGUGUAUGGGAAAUAUACACUCUACAUAGUGCGUGUGCUUGGGUAAGAGAGAUAGCGGGAGACCUAGAGAGUGAGGGAAGAGAUGUGUGCAUGCCCGAGAGACAAAGUGAUAGAGACCUAUGUUGGGGUCCGGACUUUACAAGAGAGAGGGGUGUUAAUGUGCUCGUGUGUUUGUGUUUGGGGGAGAGAACGACUUCUGUGUGUGUGUGUGUGUGUGUGUGUGGUGUGUGUGGGGGGGGGUGACUUCAGAUAAAGAGUGAGGUGUCUAUAUUUGAGGGACUUUAGCGUAAUUGAGAUAUUGUGCACUCAUGGUUGAUCAAUUUGUUUCACAGUUUGUACUAUGAGAUAACGAUACUUUUGAACAUGCGUGAUAUACCUUGAUGUACCAGAAUUACAAACCUAAGAUUGGAAUUUUGGAAUUCGACUCCAUCAUUAGCUUUUGUAAUUCAUUUAAACGGAGGUACAUUUUUUAAGCCGGGAUUUCGUGAUUUCAAAUUCAUAUAUCAAACCUAGAGAUAUACACAUACUGGCAUGUUCAAACUUUAUAAUCAUCCACUUUAUUCAUACACAUACACAUUUUUGCUUUUGUCAUCAUAUUUAGGAUAAACACAUUUGGAAUUUCAUUUGAAUUGGACCGUAUGAUGGUAUUUGCUUGUAGUAGCUCAAUGAUCCAUAUUUGAAUUGAAUGGACAAUCUAAGUUUCGAGUUGGAGACAUUGAUUUUCAAACCUUGCACAUUUUUUUGCGUGCAAAACAAACAAAUUGUCGGCCAUGAUAUCAUAGUCAGCCGUACGAGAGCAGAAUACUUACAAUUUUAGGCGCCAAAAGCUUUCAAACUUCCUGCUCACAUCGAAAUAUCAUGCGCCCGAAAGUUUAGCCCUGUGAUAUUCCUGUUUUACCCCUGCCACAUGAACGGAAAAGGGCUGCUUUGGUAACUCCAUUGUUUUCCCCUCUUUGCCCCCAACAUUCUUCCCCAGAGCCCCUCCCCUUCCCCUCCCCGACCCCCCAACCACGGCAAGCCGCCGAAUCUAGUCCUCCGCCACAGCGGUGGACCUCACACCCCGCCGGAUCUACCUUCCACACCUUGGAACCCCCAACUGCCAACUCACCACUUCACCGGAGCCGCUUCAGCGACUGGCUUGUCCACCGCUCCAGAUCUCCUUGACCGCCAUCAUGGUCCACCGCACUGAAUCUGCUUAACCGGCGCCCUCGUCCACCACAGGGUAGGCCCUUCACUAACUCCCUCGUCCGCCCCUUCGCUGGCCCUUCAUACAAGCCCUCGUCCCCCGCAACAGAUCCGCCUCACCGAAAGCGCUGUACAACACACCCGCCAAAGUCUUCAUCCACUGCACCGGACCCGCUCCACGGACGCCAUAUUCAACUCCACCGGCCCUGCUUUACUGACGCCGCAGCCUCAUUAGGUUAUUUAGACUUGUACUCCUUCGGUUUUUCUCUUUAUCGUGCAACUGUUCACUUACCACAGAUGAGCCUUCUUGUAUGUCGACAGGCGCCGCAAUCGUAGCACCAGAGCCGCUUCAGCGACGGUGACAGCCGGCCCAAACUCAACCGCAACACGAGCACCAUCGACGAUCCUUAGCUAUCAAGUAUGACAACGAUACCCAUACGCCGCCGAGAAUCAGGUACUAUUAUCCAACGGCCGGUGCCUACGUUCACUUUUCUAGCAUAAGCAGCGCACCUUUGAAUUUCUUCAGGGCAUCAUUCAGUUUUUCAUGAGACGCGUUAUUCUGCUUGCACCUGUUGGGCCAUACUUCUGGUAGUGAACAUGUUACAUGUGCUAAAUUACAUACCAGUGCACAUAUAGUUAAUAUGCUUUAGUUUUGUUCUGAUGCCACCUGUUGGUUCCAUCAGACUGCUUAAUGUUCUCUAUGCUUAAUUACACAUAGGCAAACUAGCAUGUGGUUCCGCUGCUUUUUGUUCGUUUUACCCUACAUUUUCUGAUGCUAGCUAUUACAUCACCGCUCCGAGCCUCUGUUCAUUACUUGUUUGUGUGUUCUUGAUCUUCCCAAGUUGCAUGACUAAUUUGAUGCUUCUAUUAAUUAUGGAGCUGCCAACCCCAUCAAGCAAAAUAUUUGUUCUUUUGGGGCUGACACCUCGAACAAGCAUAAAAAUAGAGGGAAGCAGAUAUACUCCCUCCGAUUAUAUUUACUCCGAGCAUAACUCUUGACCCACAUACCAAGGAGGGCACUGGUUUAAUUUUUCUAGACUAAUUUGCCAAUUAAUUAGGGCAGAGGCGGAUGGGGCGGGGCACAAAAGGAAACCAGCACUAGGAAUCAGCAACGCGCAGACUAAUACGAGAAAACUGAGAAAAAGUUAUACACAAAGUAAAAAGAAUCGGAGGGAGUAUUUUCGUGUAUGCACACACCCUUCUUUCAUUAGUUUAGAUGAACCAUUGAUGAUCAAUUCGGACCAGUGCAUGCGAUUAAAAUUAAUUUUACCUAAAUAGAUGGUGCAGAAUAAACUACAACAACUAGAUUUGCAACCACGGGAUGCUGACGAUAUCUUCAAAGAACAUUGCAACAGCAGCUAGGCUUCACAACAACAUAUGGUAAGCCAGUGUGUUUUAGUACAUGUGAAAUGUAAUGCGAGUGGGCUGCUUUCUUGGCUUGUGCCCCCAACGUGUAAUCCUACCGAAUUACAAAUAGUUCAGUUGUCUGCUUUGCUGUAUUGCUUGAUUCGAAUGCUUAUUUGUUGUUACGCUAUACCUGAGUUGGCCAAUAUGUCAGUAGUGCCUGCUGUACUAUCGUAAAGAAAUGCAUGCCUAUUUCAUUUGAGUCCUUAACUUUUCCUCUCAACUUCAUCACAAGACUGUCUUCGUAGUUUAUAUGAGGCCACACUGUUAAGUGCUUUCUCAGAUUAUUUCAACUGCUUAGAUGCCUUGGCAACUUAAAUAUAGCGGCUGUACACUCCCUUUCAACUAGGGAUGUCAACUGGGUCCGGUUUAAUCUCGAUUAAAGUCCACUAGUGGUAUGAUAGUUCAAAAGAGUUUUUGUUUUUUUGAGGAAAAUGAACUAGGGAGGUAGCAAAAACUAACUAGAUGGGAUUGGCAGAUUUCGUUUAUUUGCCACUUACAUCCCUAGUUUCAUCUUACCAUUUUAAUUUCUUUUCGGCUGAUGCUGCUUCGAACCAUUUAAAUAUAGUUUGCCAUGCUCGGCAAUAAUUCGUCCGUCGUUUACCAUGUAAGCUUACUUCCUGGAUCAUACAAUAACUACCUCUUACUGAUGUCCAGCGGAAACCUUUCAGGAUGCCGUUCACACUAGGACACAAUGUACAACCCCAGAAUCUAUUUGUGGAAGCAGUGCGCCAUCCAUGUUACCAGAUGGUAGCAGUUCAGAGGCAACACCGCUGGAGAGCAGUCUGAGCACAGAUAUUAUAGUGCUUGAGGCUCUACUAGAGGCAGAAAGAGAUGGUGUGGCUGCCAGAAUGAGGUAAUCUUUAUCUUGAGGUUGGAAAUUACGGAAUUAGCGGCACACAUUAUGCAAGCAACCCAAGAAUUGGAGGAAGUAAGAAUGUUGCAUUUGAAGACGGAGGAGGUCCUGCUGUUUCUGCUAUCUGAAGCCCAAGAUAAUCCCGGUUCUUCUUUAGAUACCAGUUGAAAAUUUCAUUAGAUUAUUGUACUUGCAUGUUGUGUCAUGUCUCUGAAUGGAUUAUGUUGAAAGACCCCCUAUGUUGUCCAUGUGUUGUAAUGAUCCGAAUUUUUUAGGCGAGGUAAUCCUCAGUACUUGUAUGAUUGACAUAAGGUGAACUAUUUUUCGUGUGAGCAUAUUGUAUUGGAUGAAAUAACUGUUUGACUCAGAGUGUAUCCAACCUACUGAAUUCGAAGAUCACGACAUUUCUAAAUCAUAAUCAUAUAAAGGUGGAAUCAAUCUUUGUUGUGGUUUUGAAGAAAUAAAUAACAAAACGUAUAAUUAUCUGUGGAUAUUCGUAAUCGAAUACAAAUUGGAUUUGAAUUUAGUUUGCCAGGUCCCAGGGCAAACGUGAAUGCUAAUUCUCCCAAGUUAUGAACGAAGCAGCUAAACACCCACUAUAAUUUGUGGGCUGCCUGAAGCAAGUGUUUGCGAGAUGGAAAUUACUGUCUACCCCUGACACUUGACAUCCUUAUCGACAGGAUUUACACUGCUGUCGAUAGGGGUAGACUAGUAACUUCAAUCAGACGUGACACGACGGCCUCUGAGCCCAUUCAGACAUGGUGGGCGCCAAACGUGGGCGGCAAAACACAUUUGAUUCAAGCUCGUCCGAAAGACAUGUGUCUCUUCCUCCAUUUCCCCAUUCAUACAUGGUGGGCGGCAAAACAAACUCUCCUCAUCCGAAAUCGAUGUAGGCUUAUAUUUUAAAUAGGGGCGGAUGUGUAACUUCCAUCAGACGUGACACAACCGCCCUACCUGUCAGCCCCGUUCAUACACCGUGGGCGCCAACCAUGGGCGGCAAAACACCCUCUCCUCGCCCGAAAUAGUUACUGGCAAAUAUUUGUGAGAUGCGAGAUUACCGUCCUAUCCCCAACUGACGCGAUGUCCGAAAUUUCAAACGGGGGAUAAGUUCGUAACUUUCCCCCAUUUCAGAGAAGCGCGUCCCAAAGUUUGAGAUCCCCCUCCCCUCCAUUUCCCCAUUCAUACACCAUCGGCGGCACGACAACCUCCGCACUGCGGCUAGCCUCCUCCAUCCGCCACCCCAUCCUCCACCUUGCUGGAGCCGCUACCACUACUAGGAAAAGGCAUGCUAGUGGCGCACCAGUUUUGCCUUCUAAUGGCGCACUACUGGUGCGCCACUGGCAUCACGCCAUUAGAAUUAAAUUCUAAUGGCGCACCACAAGUGCGCCAUUAGUAUCUGGUGUUCUAAUGGCGCACCGCGUAGUGCGCCAUUAGCAUUGCCCACAGUGCGCCAUUAGAAUUCUUUCCAGGGGGCCAUAUGUACCCAUGUGCUUUGGCAUACUAUUGGCGCACCAGUGGCUGAUGCGCCAUUAGUGUGAUUAUCACAGUGCGCCAUUAGUGUCUUGCGUAGUGCGCCACUAGUAUGAAUAUUAGGGAUUAUUUAUUUUCUUUUCUGAUAUUUUCACAGGUUACAAAAUAUAUUAUUGGACAGAAUUUAGACAACAACACAUAGCAACAACAGAUUCAUCGAAUACAAUAGAAGAUUAGUCUCCGAAUACAAAUCAUCAUAUUAGUCUCUGAAUUCAAAAGACCGAACAAAGAUAGAACAUUACAAGUCUCGAGACCGCGAGUAGCUAGUUUGUCUUCACAUUACAAGUCGAUAUCGACCAUCUAAACUACCAUCACAUAGAAGAGAGUUGUGGUCAUCAUGAUGAGCAUCAUCACGAUCAAACUGGUCUUCAUCCGGUUCCUCCAACGCUCCCUCCUCUCUCCCGCUAGAUAGCGGGCGUAUCUAGAUUCGGCCUCCGCCCUAGUGGUGUACCCUUUGUAACUGUUACCGCUGAAACGGUGAACCUGUCUCCGACACUCCUCCCAGUCAUCGUAGACUCUGGGAACCUUACCCUUGUACACGACAUACGACGGCAUCUCUAUGCACAAGCCAAACAACAAACAAUACAUAAUCAAUAUGUAAGUAUGCAACAAAAGGAUCGGAAGAGAAAAGCAAGACAUUAAUAGCACGAUUCAUGGUCCUACUAAUAAAUAGCAUCGAUUACAUCUAAGUUGAACGACUGUCCAAACCAAAGAGACAUACGAAUUCAUUAAAGUUUAAUUACAACAUGAGCCAAUCAAUGUUUCAGAACUACACAUCACUACUUUCGACUCGACUCAUCGGACAGGAGCGUGGAUGAAGCCGCCGUCUGUCGCGAUGGUCAUGAAAUCACGGUCGUUGUCACCCUGCAUUUGUAGCAUUCCAUCUAUCUCAUUGUUGGACGGUUGAUAUCUGUGGAAGAACUGCCCCGAUGUAUGAAGGACAUCUUGAUGGAUGAUGUCCGCAAAGUCCGACUGGAUGCGAAAGAAUUCUUGUCUGAGGUCCGCGUCCUGGAUUGCUGACAAGUUCGCGGCCCAAUCUAUGAGAUUAUCUGGUAGCAGAAGUUGAUGAUGGUCCCUUACGAUCGCCCGCAUGUGAUGGAGGGCGUAGUAGGCAUCCUUCUGACCGCCAGGCGGCUGCUUGACGCAGAAAAACUUCGUAUUGUGUGAGAACAUGUGCUUGCCGUACUUAUGAAUAGUCCUGGUGAAGGUGCCUCCAGAUCUGGCGUAGCCGGGGAGAACAUCAUCAAGAACUUUCUUGACAUUUGUGUAGUCUAUCUUGGAGUUACGGUUCGGGUCGAAAUACGUGGCCAUGGAAUAUUUCGGGCUUAAGAGGAUGAGUGUGUAAUGUGUGUCACUGCACAGAACACGGAAUGUUAGAAAAAAAAGAACGAUCGAAAUCUAAGAAAUCAUAUGUUACGGGGCGGUUAAGGGAUGACUUACUCGGGAAAGUAAGCCACAAGGAAGUUAUCCUUAUCUGGGUUUGCCAGAGUGACGCCUUCGAGGUGUGAACUCGCAACUUGGCGGUCCCCAACGCUGCUCAAGUGCUUGGCACACAUGUAGAAGGGGUCGACUAUCAUGAUGUCCUGGGUCUUGUCUCUAAUGAUCCGCAUCUCCAUACUCAGCGAAAACAGCCGAACGAAGGUGUAGUGCAGCGGAUGAAGGUUAAACAUAGCAAAGAUGUCAUCAAACCGCAGGACGAUCGUACCCCCGAUGUCGCCAUCCACAAAGCCCUUGCCCUCUGGCACCUUGGCCACAAAAACCGGGUAUGCCACAUCCUUCUCUCUGAGAUGCCGCUUCUCCAAAGAAAGAACACUGUUGUGCAGACUCCGCAUAGCACCGGUUGCAGCAUUCAGCAUAUUUGGCGGUAGCAUCGCCCUACCCGCCACAUGCACCCUCCUCGAGAUAUCCUUAGGUGAAGGUGGCCCGUCCUGAGCACGGAUCGUACUCGGUGCCGGCUGGCUCGCACCGGCGCCCUUGUUAGUCUUUCGUUUCCGUCCCUUCUUCUUGAUAUCCUGUAAUGGGACCGAGUUCUGCUCACAGACCGCCUUCUUGAGCGUGUUGGGGCUGAUAAUAUUUCGCACCUCAGCUAUCUGAGGCUCGGUGAAGGCGGGAGCUGGAGGCGUCUCCUGAGAACUGAACGCCAGACAACGCCUAUUGCAAUUGGAUUUCUCCAACGUACCAGCUAGAUUGCGGUCGUCUUGGUUGGGUUCUUGAGAAAGAGGCCCGCAGAACUCGUCAGCGUACCCAUGUCCGGCAAAGUACUUAUCGACUUUGGUAAAUUUACCGUCGUCGUUGUCGUCGUUGUUCGGAUCCUGUGCCAUAGGGCUGUCCGGAUCCUAUGCCAUAGGGAUGUCCGACAUAGGGAUGUCUGGCGGGUCCGGUAGCGUUGCGGCGUUCUUGCCAUGGCUUGGCGCCGACACGACUGGCGGUCUUGUCUGUGGGGUGGUGUCCCCCGCCCCCAAACGAAUCUGGCUCUUCGGACAAAGCAGCAGCCAGCUUACGCAGGCGCUGAGGGUCAUCUCAUCUUCUUCGUCGGCCCCAGCGGGUCGAACCAGAGGUAACAGCUCGUCGCAGCCUGGCAGCACCCGAACCACUUCAACCCUAUACAUUGUGGGUGGCAUUGGAUUACCGUGGAACAUGCGGUUGCCCGGUUGAACGAUUCUGCCCUUGGCGACAUCGACCAGCUCGGCACCCACGAAGUGCAGAAGAGUGCAAGGAACGUCGGCGGUGCCCUGCGAAAACAUGUACAGGGCGUCAGGGAUGCCCAGUCAAAGGCAAGGAGAUGAAGUCAUCGGCUGAGAGGCUUAGUUACCGUGAUGCCAUCGAGCUCGGCUAAUGUCGAGGCACCGCCAACGGCGGGCGUGCAACUGACGGAGGGGGCGCUUGCUGGCGAGGUGCCGGCCGGCGUACACUCGGGUGCAUUAAGCUCCAAUGCCCGUGCCGGCGCCGGAGACACGAAUACCGCCUCCGCCGAAGACACCAAUGGCGCCGCCGCCGGAGACACCAAUGGCGCCGCCGGAGACACCAAUGGCGCCGCCUGCGCGCUGUGCGAGUUGCUGGCCGUGAAGCUGGGAACCGGGGGAGGCCCCUGUUGGCCGCCCACAAUCCACGUCGUCAGCCCAUGAAUCAACGUAGGCACCAUGGCGUUGAGCAUCGUUCCCAGCUGUUGUUCCACUUGCUCUUGGACAAGCUCAGGAAUCUGCGCCACUUGUGCCUUGAGUGCUUCAACCUUGCGCGUCUGGCUUUCCGAGCUGGCCUUUUUCUCCUUCCGCACACCCGCGGUAUAGUAUGACCCCCAUUUUGUGGACAAGCCUUUGUCGGCCACACGACCAGCUGACGUCGGCUUAGUGAGCUUAUUCUUGUUUUUCAUUAUGUUCAACGCCCUAUUUAAAGGGGUGUCGAAAGGGGAGCUCAGCUGAGAUGACCCCGCGCUAGUGCUUUCAGUUUCCUGCGAAAGGAACAUGAACCAUUUAGAAAUACUGGGGAUUAAUUAGAGUGCAACCAUAUGGAGCUAAUUAUGCGGGGGUGUAUUCCUUGCCAGAACAAGCUCAAGCGCCCUGGUCUUCGGAUCCGUGGUAAGCUCCUUUGUUAUUGGGUCCUCCUUGUACCGGGCCCUGACAUAGUUCCUGGUAUGCUUGUUACCGCUGUAUUUCUCGAAGCGGGGCGGUAGGCCUUGCUCGGCACGCUCCGCGUCCUCCUUGUCCCAUAUAGGCUUCGCCACUCUGUAACCGCCGGGACCGAGUUUGUGUUACCCUAAGUUCAACUCCCGCAUUUCUUUCCCCCACUAACUUGAUUCGGAGGUUGCGCUGCUCGAGCACUUGAUCUUGAACUCCUUGUACUCAUCUUCGCUCAUCAAAGGAUAUUUUGCCUUGAUCUUCUCAUAACUAUCACCUCUAUCAAUCAUUCUCUUCACCGUGCUUCUCCAAGUAGACAGGGCCGUGCUCAUCUUCGUGAGGGCGGCACUGUUCACUUUAUUCCCUGAGAGGCGUGUGUUUUCAAAUUCGGCGGGGAACUUGUAUCGUUCAUGCAGCUUCAUGAAGAGGAGGUUGUGCAAAUUCCCGUGGUCCUUAUUCCUAAGGUUAUCGAUGUUGAUCGAGACGGUGCUCCGGAGAAUGCACCCGAUCUGAACCGAGUACCCCUUGACUAUAUGUUUGGGCUCCGUUGGAUUCCCGUCGGAGUCCACUUGAGUGAAUUCCUCCUUGACGGUGCGGAGCGCAUUCGGACGCCGGUCCUUCCUUUGCUUCUUCGAUUGGCUGCCAUUUGUGUGUGCGCCGCCAUCAUCAGUGGUGGCAUCCUCGGCGGCACCAUCAGUGGUGUCAUCCCCGACGCCACUAGGGGUUCUGUAAUUAGGAUCGGUGUCUUCCGCGGCGUCCUCAUAGCGGUGAGGUUGUUCCUCCAACUCUUGGGAUAGCUCCCAGAAUUGCUUGCCGCCCGAACCAUCGGCCUCAUCGUUGUGGGCCAUGUUUCGCUCUAAAUAGGAAAAAAGUUGGUUAUUGUCAAGGAACAAGAUCAUGGUCUCAUCAUUUAGGGUUUGUCGACACCGAGGCACCCUAAAAGCCUAAGCUUUCAUCAUUUAGGGUUUGUCGACGCUGAGGCACCCUAAAAGCCUAAGCGUACAUCAUUUAGGUUCUCAUCGACACCGAGGCAUCCGGGGCAGCCAAGUUAAGUUUUCAUCAUUUAGGGUUUAUCGAUGCCGAGGUACCCUAGGUUGGGCCUAAUCACUUGGCACUAAUCACUUGGCUCUAUUGCCACCUAUGUUGGGUUUAUCAUCUAGGGUUUAUCGAUGCUAAGGAGAAUUCUAAGUUGGGCCUAAUCACUUGGCUCUAUUGCCACCUAUGGUUUAAUGCAGCAAGAAUAAAGGGGCAGUUGAUCCUACUUAAUUAAGUACUAAGAUACCCCGGUCCAUGCAUUAGUCGCGAGUACCACAUAUGUCCUAUUUUUAGCAAAGUCAUGCUAAAAUUCACGGAAAAUUUCAGCAUGACCUUUGCUGAAAAAUAGGACAUAUGGAGUACCCGAAUUUGCUGGAACGGAAGUUAAUCAACAUUCCGGCAAACUCAAGGGCCGGAACGGAAGUUAAUCAAGUUGACAAAAUUCCCAAGUAGUACAGCAGCAGCAUCACAAGUAGUACCAAUGAACAUAUAGUCCAGCAAGUUGAAAAAGCUGAAGUUCAAGUUACAGCCUGCAUGACAUUUUCCUACACAAUGCUUGUUGUAAAUAAUUACUUAAAGUAAACACUUUUUUAUCUCAGCUUACUUGCUACCCUGUCUAUUUCUUCUAUGCUAUCCUUAUACUCUGCUUAAGGACAGAUGCUACUUGUCUUGGCUAUAUACAACAAAUUGACCUGGUUGUGUUCUAUGCUAUUAUGCUACUUGUCUUCUACGCUAUCCUUAUACUCUGCAAAUUGACCUGGUUGGAAUUCAUACAGCAAUAGUAACAGUAAACUGAACUUCUUUUGCAUGCAUUUAUCACUCCAGAAAACUUUCAGUAACAAGUGAGAAGUGUCGGUGUCAAAACCGGCGGAUCUCGGGUAGGGGGUCCCAAGCAGUGCGUCUUAGGAUCAAUGGUAACAUGAGACAAGGGACACGAUGUUUUACCCAGGUUCGGGCCCUCUUGAUGGAGGUAAAACCCUACGUCCUGCUUGAUUAAUAUUGAUGAUGUGUGUUACAAGAGUGGAUCUACCACGAGAUCAAGGAGGCUAAACCCUAGAAGCUAGCCUAUGGUAUGAUUGUUGUUGUCUUUUUCUAUCGACUAGCCUGGCCUCGGUUUAUAUAAUGCACCAGAGGCCUAGGAUAACAAGAGUCCUAGCCGAAUACGCCGGUGGGGGAGGAGUCCUUGUCUUGAUCGCCAAGUCUUGUGGAAUCUUCCUUGUAUGCGGCAACUGUCCGGACUGCCCCAUGAGUAUACGGCCAUGGGGAUCCUCGGCCCAAUCCAACUGAUCGGGAGAUGACGUGGUGAGUACCCCCUAGUCCAGGACACCGUCAAUAGCCCCCUGAACCGGUCUUCAAGUUGGGGACGCUCCUCGAUUCUUCCGAACUGUUCUUCAUCUUCGGUCGUUGGUCUUGAAAACUGGUUCAACAAAUCUUCUCAUCUUCAAUCUUGAGGAUCGCCGAAAUGCAUUUAACGAGUUUACACGUCGGGUAUCCGAGGAGCCCCUUUAAGUUUCCGGCCUUUAUCAAUGCCUUGCUAUUUUUAUGCCACACCUCGGGUUUGAAGUUGUUCCCGGGCGGCAACGUCCUCUUGCGUCCGAGCUCCAACGCCGGACUACAUUCGAGGUAUCUUUCGCAGCCGAGCACCAAUGCCGGACUGCUUCCCAGCUCUAACGCCGGACUAUGUAUCCGAGCUCCAACGCUGGACUGUAUCCGAGCUCCAAUGCCGGACUGUAUCCGAGGUGUCGUAAAUCACCUUGGUUCAAAGAGUUUUGAAGGAGUUUAGCCGAGCUUAAUGCCGGAAAUGCCCUCUAUGGAGCCAGCCACUAGCGCCCAAGCUUUAUGCCGGACUGCUUCCGAGGUGGUGCACCACCCCGAAUGUGGGCCGAUUUUUGUCAAUAUUUUUGAUUGGUGCCAGUAGCCCUCAAGGUGGGUAUCGGUCUAAAACCCGAGAUGCACAUGAAGGACGACAUAAGACCACUGAUCCCCGUAGCCGCUGAGACUCAGGUUGAUUUGCAAAAUCAGUUUGAGGAUCAAGUCCUAGCUCGGCAGAAUACUUCAGGACACAAAAAGCAGCGUGCUUAGUCUUCGAGACUCAGGUUGGGUGUGGCCAACCAACCUGAGGAUCAAAAUCUUCAUGGAAACUGUAUUGCACUUAAAAUUUUCUGCAUAGAACAGGCAAUGCAGUAGCCCCCGAGACACUGGUCGGGUGGCAACACCAGAUCAGGGGAUCGAUGUGCCCCUUUAAUAUUUGUAAAUAAUAAGCCCAAAGCCCAGUAGCACCCGAGCCUUAAUGCGGGCACGGGAGGCCGAAUUAAGGAUCGAUGUCCAUAGUAAAAUCACAAAUUAUGUGUAAUGACUCUAUGUAUCCAAGUACUUUACGUCAUUAAUGCUCGGAUCCGCAUUGUACAAAACUUUGUUGACUGACCAUCGGCUUCCACCUCCUCGGCCAAUAGCCGAGGAGUGUUUGUCCUACUUUAUAAAGCCUUUAUGAGGGCAAAGAUUUACAACAAACAAGGCAAUCUGGCCAUACGGUUUUAUAAACAAAGGUACGCGGAGAGACAUGUUAUAUUAUUGUUUAACAGAAGAAAUGUCUUCCAGAGAAAAUAGUCCCGCUAUCGGUUCCUUUCUUUGGGUUGUCAUGCUAAGCAUGAUCAUGAAACCUCUGCUCCAAUGUAAGAGCAAAAUAUCGAGGAUUUAGUUUGGGAGGCCAGUUAAUAGCCCCCGAUAGUGUUCGGCGACAGUCGAGGUCAAGCCGGAAACACUUCGGCCAAUGAAUGGCCCGUCAUUUAAUAUAGUCAUCGGACCGCUGACCAGUUUACACCUAUUGUGACAGUCAGUUUUCGGCUUUCUCCACUAAGGUGCUUGACCAUGCGAGCUGGAAGCACAAUCGCAGUGGUUCUCCCUUUUCACACCUAGCCGAACAAAGCGGAACGUAGGAGGCAAGCGCGGGAGCCGGGCAACCCAACUAUUGACCGAAGACACAAUUCGAAACUGAUGCAUAUAUAGCAAUAUCCGAGAAUGUUUUUGCCGAAUCUCAAAAGGUGUCCGGCGUUGCACUGCGAGACUUGUGCUGAAAACACACAAAUAGUUUAAAAGUGCCAUGGGCUCGAAAAGCCAAAAAACUUAUUCAAAAUAUUAAUGUCCAAACUAGAUCAAGUGUUCGGUGCCAAUCCAAAAAUUGGACUUUAGAAAAAAAAAGGUGCUUCUGCCGUGCUUUAACAUGACACAUCCUAUCUCAAAACUUCAAGCAGGUCAGCCUACGGCUUCAACCUCCUAUCCCGAAGGCGGAGUACUUCUUACUAGGCCAGUUUAGCAAACUAAACUCUAGCGGCUUUGAGAGAGAAAUUAGGCUCCCCGGCUAGUGACCGCACACUUGUGUCAAAAAAGGAGUGAUAAAUAAUAAUAAAACUUUGCAACGGCUAGGAAGAGAAACACUUAGUAUGAAACGGCUCAAAUAAACAUAAGAGCCCCCAAGUGACUUGGGUAAAAGUUGACUAUAUAAUGUAAGGUGACAUGUAGAAUGCCUUCUAGCCGGAUUGUAGAUCGUUUGUCGUAGCGGACCUUUUCGCUUCAUCCUCUGGACCCAAUAGUCCGGAGUGUGUCCGAAUACCCUCGCGGUUAUAAAAACCGGGGCAUGCGUGGAGACCAGGCGUAGGGGUCAUUAGUGCUUUAUCAGACAAGUGCCCAACUAGUUAUGUUAUAUUACAUGGUUAUUAAGAAACAUCCUCCAGGGAGAAUAGUUCCGUUAGGGGUUCCUUUCCCUAGGAGGCAUGCCCUAAAGUGCAUGUCCGGACUGUGAAAAGAGCAGAAAAACAUCUGGGGGCAGGUAAAUAAAUAGGUAAGAAAUCAUCUUUUAGUUCACCGACCGAGUAUUCCCUUAAGAACGCUAGCUUUCGGCUUCACCCAGUCUGAGGUACACAUCCGGCUGACCCGACAGUAACAAUCGCAGAGGUGCUCCCUUUACCACCUAGCCGAACAAUCGGGAACGUAGGGGUAAGCACAGGAGCCAGGCAACCCAGCUUGGCCAAAACUUAAGUCAUAUCGAUGCAUAUAAUGGUGAAUAAAAGGUACAUGCAGAAGUGUGACACAUGUGUUGGGCAUAAAGCCCGAAUUAAUAAGCUUCUGUUAAAGAAGCCCCCAGGUAUAAUGAGCGCGGGUAGCACGUCAAGUGUGUGCGAACAAAGUUUCGACAAGGGAGAUUUUUACAAGCAACUUUUUUCCGGGAAAGUAUAAUGCUUGGUCGAACCGAACACAAGUUAGAAAUUUUAAAACUUUGAGCAUGAAGGCAACUUAGCUGGUUAAUGUGUUCGGUAUUGACGAUGCGGUUCGAGCUUGAUUCGGGACAAGGUUCCAUCCCCCAAGCCGGUCCCGAGGUGGCGGAGCAAAGAGCUCGACACUGUGAAGUGGUGACAUAGCAUGGUCAAUGCAGGACGGCAGAGUGAUGCCGAAGUCCCUGGCAUGGGGUAAUGAAGUGUUGACGAAGCCCCCCGUCCAGCCGAGGUGACGUCAAAGGAUAUAGUCCGGCUGGUUCAUUUUCCUGUGCACAAAAAAUAGUGCAAACCAGAGAUAAUAGUAAAAAAAAAUCGUUGCAUAAUAAAUAAUUUAUGCAAAGUGAGUAAUAAAAGAAAUAUGGCCUGGCGCUGAAGUCAAUGUCGAUGCAGGGCGGCGGUGUGAUGCGGUAAAAGCAGGGCAGGGCCUGAAUUCACAGGUCGGUUUGAGUUCCGGAUGCGGCGUUCGCCGGACUAUGUACGGAAACUGACCGAACCACCAUGCGACCGUCGUUAAUGCGGCCACCAUUUGAUAGACCUGCGUACAUAUGAUGGACAAACCAGAGUAAUAAUUCGUUGGAAAAAAUGAACCCAAACAAGCAAAAACUACUAGGAUUAAUAGCACCUGGCUUAUUUGUUGCAGCAAUCUGAAGAAAGGUGAUUCCCAAAAUUGGGACUCGAUCCACACAUCUAUCGCCUGAUGGCCGAUAAAGCCAUGGUGAUGCUGGCAAAGAUUGGCUCGCCGAGGCAAAGCCCUCGGUCCAGCUAACGUGAUGGAGCUGGUCGGCCAGCGACGCCGGAGUCUCCGGAGUAGGUUGAUGAAGAGAUGAUGAAGCCCCCGGUCCAGCUAAUGUGAUGAAGCCUCGGUGUCAGCCGAUGAGUCGAAGUAGGUCGGCGUGAUGGACACCAGCUUGAAAAAGCAACAGUGCGGCCCUGCCGAUGCAGGUCGUGACGUGGUCGAUGCCGUCUUGAUGAAGCGAUCGUGUGGCAAUGCAGGUGUGCCCGCUCCGUGUAAUCCGUGGGGCAGCGAUGUUGGUGAUGAUUUAUCCUUCGUGAUGCCGGACUCUCGUUCGGCUUGCCGAGAUGAUGAUCCGAAGAAAUUGAGCUCGGCUCAACAAAGCGACGACGUGUCUAACGCAGGUCGGCCGCCGUGGAGUGAUGUUGUCGGGCUGGUUUGACACCGGCGCGACGGUGAAGUUCGUAUUGCAAGAAUACUUUCAAUACUACUGGGAUGUGUUUGAGAAUAAAACACAACACCCCAUACAAAAACUUCCUUCAAAAAGGAUGUCCGAGAUCCCGUUCAUAAAGAAGAUGAAUUCGGGUCAGAUUCGUUCUCGCGCAGAAAACAGAUCCAAAAAGUGAUGCACUAAUCGGAAGUUUCCCGGAGUUUGGACGGUCGAAUCGAGCUGAAUUUUUGGCAGGUGGUAGAUAUGGGAAUUCCGCAGCAAAUCAACGGUUGGAUCCUCCAAAGGACAUCCGAGCUAGAUGCUGGAUACCACGCCCUAAACUCAUCAGGAUUCUCGUCCAGAUUCAACAGGGCUCCGGUAUAUCGGAGAUUGCCGGAGAUUCCUCCAUCGGAACUUGAUGAAAUUUUUGCAGGGUUGUUGUAGACUUAAUUCCGCAUAAUUCCACUGAAGUAAUCGUUUAAGCGACACUCGAGGAGGCAGUGGCGGAGGAUACAAGUUUGCUGUCCAGAAAAAUAGCACGGUCGCCUGAGGGCAAUGUUGACGUUGAGCCCCCGAGCUCCAUGGAUGACUCCUCCAUGAUCUUGAUAGAGAUCGGAGUUGGUAUUUGAUGAAGGCCUUCAUCCGAACAUGACGAUCGGAGGUAGGGCGUAGUCCUCGGUCAAGCCGAGGUGACCAGUCGAGAUGGUGACGAAGAAGCCGACGUCGCAGUUGACCUGCAGUCGAGCCAUUGAUCCUUUCGCCGAUCACACAGCGGAACUCUCAAUGAAAGCACCAAUGUCGGUGUCAAAACCGGCGGAUCUCGGGUAGGGGGUCCCAAGCAGUGCGUCUUAGGAUCAAUGGUAACAGGAGACAAGGGACACGAUGUUUUACCCGGGUUCGGGCCCUCUUGAUGGAGGUAAAACACUACGUCCUGCUUGAUUAAUAUUGAUGAUGUGUGUUACAAGAGUGGAUCUACCACGAGAUCAAGGAGGCUAAACCCUAGAAGCUAGCCUAUGGUAUGAUUGUUGUUGUCUUUUUCUAUCGACUAGCCUGGCCUCGGUUUAUAUAAUGCACCAGAGGCCUAGGAUAACAAGAGUCCUAGCCGAAUACGCCGGUGGGGGAGGAGUCCUUGUCUUGAUCGCCAAGUCUUGUGGAAUCUUCCUUGUAUGCGGCAACUAUCCGGACUGCCCCAUGAGUAUACGGCCAUGGGGAUCCUCGGCCCAAUCCAACUGAUCGGGAGACGACGUGGUGAGUACCCCCUAGUCCAGGACACCGUCAAGAAGCAUCUGCAUUUUCUUAGUGAACUUUUGAGUGCAUUUAUCACUUGUUGGAGUAUGCUACAGCUUCUGCAAAUCACGAACUCCUUUAGUUUACAUCUCAGUUUUAGUUUACAUCUCAGCUACGGAAGGAGGGGAAGGGGGGAGAGGUGAGGAAUCACCUGUGGGAUAACGGCAGGCUGCCGUAGGAGGACGCCGGUGUCGACGAGGCACUGGGCGGCGGCGCGUCGAGGAGGCGACGCAUCGAGGAGGAGGAGGCGCGUCAAGGAGGUGGCGCGUCGAGGAGGAGGAGGCGCGUAGAGGAGGUGGCGCGUCGAGGAGGCGACGCGUCGAGGAGGAGGCGGUGGAGGCGGGGCAGCAGAGGGUUCGGCCGGCUGGGCGCGCCGCGGCGGCGGGCCAUCAGCGGUGGCGGCGGCUAGGAACCCUAGCUUUCGCGCUCGGGAGGGAGGUUGACGCGGGUGGGGCCGUGGGAGGAGGGGGACGGCGAGGGCGCGGGCGCGGGUGGAGGGGGGACGGUGCUCGGCUCGAGGACGGCGAGGGAGGCGGCGAGGGAGGCGACGCUCGGCUCGGGGACGACGAAGGAGGCGAGGGGGACGGCGAACACGGAGGCGACGCUCUGCAGGUGGUGCGCCAUUAGUACUUUUUGCAGAAAAGUAAAAAAAACAUAUGUAUUCUAAUGGCGCACGGCGUCACAACUACUAAUGGCGCACUGUGAUACGGUGCGCCAUUAGUAGGUUCGGAAAAAAGUAAAAAAUAUAUAUAUACUAAUGGCGCACUUGCCUCGCCGUGCGCCAUUACUAGUUCUAACUACUAAUGGCGCACUUUGUCACCAUGCGCCAUUAGUUUGUAUGGAAAAAUGGGAAAAAAAAUCGACAGUAGUGGCGCACCGUGAGGCUGGUGCGCCAUUAGUGUCUGCCACACUAAUGGCGUACCUGAAGCCAGUGCGCCAUUAGUAUAUAGUAGUGGCGCACUGUCUUCCUGGUGCGCCAUUAGAAUCAGUCUAUCUAUAGCCCUUUUCCUACCCCGUCGUCCACUUCAAGAUAUGGACGUCUCUCAUCCACGGCGCUGGACCAGGAUCCUUUCAUCACCUCCUCUCGCUUCAUCGACGCCGUCGUCCACCUUGCCUUUGCCGCUCCUACGACCGCCUUGUCCAUGGCAACAGGAUAUAUCCCCCAACCCGUCCGUCUGCCGUCUAAACUCUUCUUCUCCGCCGCCGACAGCCAUUGCACCCACAACACCCUCAACGUAUCAGCAUAGGCCUACACGGCGUCGCAAGAGAGCUGGUACUCUUCCAUAUGUGCUUAAGUUAUUGAUCUCACCUGGAAAAUAGAUCGUAAUUUGUUUACUGUACUUUUCUUGUCCGUACCAAAUCGUAGUGGCUAGUUGAAAGCAAACAUUGGUUGCGAAGUAGCUUUGUCCGGUUUGCACCUUCAGAUCCGCCAUGGCACGGGCACUAUACUCGUAAAGCUUAUGGUUUCCCCCCUUUAAAUUCACUACCAUCAUCGUAGGUGCUUCGUGUCGUGCUAGCACUGCUCCUCAAGACCUCAACCCAAAGCUUACGUGUUGAAAUACGAAUCUGAUAUGAUGCUCAUAUCACUAAAACAGAGAACGUUUAAUUGGUCACCUAAUGUUCCUAUAUUCAUUUCGAAAAGCAUGUGCGCCACCCACUGGUCCAGCUAGUUCCACUUUCCUGAUUUUUCUCUUGAUUCUUAGGGUUUUCCCCUUUUAUCUACUCUACUAUGAUCUGCGUAGGUGCUUUCUGUCGUACUAGCAUUACUCCACCCUUCAAGCUAAACAACACAACACUCAGAAUUCGAAAGCUUAGUUGUUCAAAUAUGAUUGUGAUAUGAUACUAAUAUUAGUUAACCAACACAUUUAAUUGGGUAGCUAAAGGUCCCACUUGAGUUUCCAAAUGCAUGUCGCGACAUAUAGAGAGACAACAUAAUUGCAUUUCUUUGUCACUUGUUGACCGUACUUUCUUGUCUAUACCAAAUCUUAGUUGUCAUUUCAAAGCAAACAUCGGUUGCUAACUACCCUUUGCGCGGUUUGCAGCUUCAGAUCUGCCAUCCCACUGCCACGGUCAACACUGUACUCAUCAUGCUUAUGUUUUCCCCAUUUUAUGAUGACCACAAUCAGCCUAUGUGGUUCGUGUCGUAAUAGCACUGCUCCACCCAUCGAGCUAAACAAGCUUAGCUGUACAAAUUCAUAUCUGAUAUUAUUGCUGAUAUUAGUAAAACUAAGAGAUGUUUAAUUGGUUAGCUAAAUGUUCCUACUUUAGUUUCGAAAUGCAUGUGAGCCACAUAUGGAGAGACCGGAAAGAAUAGUAUUUCUCUGUGCGCUCUAGUUCAUCAUGGGUGGCCAACCGACAUUGUAUUAAAAGACUUGUAAUAUCUUCAAUCUGCUUGCUCUUCUGCUCUUCUUUAAGAUGAUACUCUUCUCUUGCGGUCGACUGGUCAGGUCGAGUUGUUCUCCCUUAGUAUAUUUUGAAUCUCUCAGGUCAGGUCGACUUGUUCUUCUUUACUAUAUGUUGAAGCUAUCAUCUGCAAAGUGUCAUCACUUCUGCAGCUCUCAUAUUUUGAGUAGUAGGCCACAUUAUAUUAAUGCACACAACAAAUUACAGCAUGCAUGGCAUGUUUUAAAAGAAUUGCAGAGAUAGCACAAAGGGGUUUACAGGGAGGCAGUAUUGGAUUAGAAUCACUUCUGCAUUACAAAGAAAAUCUCACUUGUUUUUAUGUUUUCAUGCAUGUCAGAUAUUGAACAUUAUCAAAAUGAAUAUGAGAAUGGGCGCACGAGAGGAAUAUUGCGGAACGAUCCACUGGUGAUGUCUACUACACAACCUUCUUCUUGUAGACAUUGUUGGGCCUGCAAGUGCACAGGUUUGUAGGACAGUAGCAAAUUUCCCUCAAGUGGAUGACCUAAGGUUUAUCAAUCCGUGGGAGGUGUAGGAUGAAGAUGGUCUCUCUCAAGCAACCCUGCAACCAAAUAACAAAGAGUCUCUUGUGUCCCCAACACACCCAAUACAAUGGUAAAUUGUAUAGGUGCACUAGUUCGGCGAAGAGAUGGUGAUACAAGUGCAAUAUAGAUGGUAGAUAUAGGUUUUUGUAAUCUGAAAAUAUAAAAACAGCAAGGUAACAAGUGAUAAACGUGAGAGUAAACGGUAUUGCAAUGAUAGGAAACAAGGCCUAGGGUUCAUACUUUUGCUAGUCCAAGUUCUCUCAAGAAUAAUAACAUAGAUAGAUCAUAUAACAAUCCCUCAACAUGCAACAAAGAGUCACUCCAAAGUUACAAAUAGUGGAGAACAAACAAAGAGAUUAUGGUAGGGUACGAAACCACCUCAAAGUUAUUCUUUCCAAUCAAUCCGGUGGGCUAUUCCUAUAAGUGUCACAAACAGCCCUAGAGUUCGUACUAGAAUAACACCUUAAGAUACAAAUCAACCAAAACCCUAAUGUCACCUAGAUACUCCAUUGUCACCUCAAGUAUCCGUGGGUAUGAUUAUACGAUAUGCAUCACACAAUCUCAAUUCAUCUAUUCAACCAACACAUAGAACCUCAAAGAGUGCCCCAAAGUUUCUACUGAAGAAUCAUGACGAAAGCGUGUGCCAACCCCUAUGCAUAGGUUCAUGGGCGGAACCCGCAAGUUGGUCACCAAAACAUACAUCAAGUGGCACGUGAUAUCCCAUUGUCACCACAGAUACCCACGACAAGACAUACAUCAAGUAUUCUCAAAUCUUUAAAGACUCAAUCCGAUAAGAUUACUUCAAGGGGAAAACUCAAUUCAUUACAAGAGAGUAGAGGGGGAGAAGAAACAUAAGAUCCAACUAUAAUAAUAAAUCUCGCGAUACAUCAAGAUCAUGCCAAAUCAAGAACACGAGAGAGAGAGAGAGAGAGAGAGAGAGAUCAAACACAUAGCUACUGGUACAUACCCUCAGCCCCGAGGGUGAACUACUCCCUCCUCAUCAUGGAGAGCGCCGGGAUGAUGAAGAUGGCCACCGGUGAUGGUUCCCCCCUCCGGCAGAGUGCCAGAACAGGGUCCUGAUUGGUUUUUGGUGGCUCUGGAGGUUUUGCGGUGGUGGAACUCCCGAUCUAUCUUCUCUUCUAGAAGUUUUAGGGUACGUAGGUAUAUAUGGGUGAAAGGAGUACGUCGGUGGACCGAAGGGGGGGGGGCACGAGGCAGGGGGCGCGCCCCAGGGGGGUGGGCACGCCCCCACCCUCGUGAGCACCUCCCUUCUUUCCUGGCAUGCACUCCAAGUCCAUCGGGUGGAUUUCCUUCCAAAAAAUAACUUCUCCAGUUGAUUUCGUUCCGUUUUGACUCCGUCUGGUAUUCCUUUUCCUCGAAAUACUGAAAUAAGCAUAAAACAGCAAAUCUAGGCUGGGCCUCCGGUUAAUAGGUUAGUCCCAAAAGUAAUAUAAAAGUGGAUAAUAAAGCCCAAUAUUGCCCAAAACAGUAGAUAAUAUAGCAUGGAGCAAUCAAAAAUUAUAGAUACGUUGGAGACAUAUCAAGCAUCCCCAAGCUUAAUUCCUGCUCGUCCUCGAGUAGGUAAAUGAUAAAAAAGAUAAUUUUUGAUGCGGAGUGCUACUUGGCAUAAUUUCAAUGUAAAUCUUCUUAAUUUUGAUAUGAAUAUUCAGAUCCAAAAGAUUCAAGACAAAAGUUCAUAUUGACAUAAAAAUAAUAAUACUUCAAGCAUACUAACUAAGAAAUUAUGUCUUCUCAAAAUAACAUGGCCAAAGAAAGUUAUCCCUACAAAAUCAUAUAGUCUCGCUAUGCUCCAUCUUCCCCACACAAAGUAUUUAAAUCAUGCACAACCCCGAUGACAAGCCAAGCAAUUGUUUCAUACUUUAACAUUUUCAAAACUUUUUCAAUCUUCAUGCAAUACAUGAGCGUGAGCCAUGGAUAUAGCACUAUAUGUGGAAUAGAACGGUGGUUGUGGAGAAGACAAAAAAGCGAAGAUAGUCUCACAUCAACUAGGCCUAUCAACGGGCUAUGGAGAUGCCCAUCAAUAGAUAUCAAUGUGAGUGAGUAGGGAUUGCCAUGCAAUGGAUGCACUAGAGCUAUAAGUACGUGAAAGCUCAACAAAAGAAACUAAGUGGGUGUGCAUCCAACUCGCUUGCUCACGAAUACCUAGGGCAUUUUGAGGAAGCCCAUCAUUGGAAUAUACAAGCCAAGUUCUAUACUGAAAGAUUCCCACUAGUAUAUGAAAGUGACAACAUAGGAGACUCUCUAUCAUGAAGAUCAUGGUGCUACUUUUAAGCACAAGUGUGGUAAGAGGAUAGUAGCAUUGUUCCUUCUCUCUUUUUCUCUCAUUUUUUUAUUUUUUUAUUUUUUUAUUUGGGCCUUUUCUCUUUUUUUAUGGCCUCUUUUUUUUUCAUCCGGAGUCUCAUCCCGACUUGUGGGGGAAUCAUAGUCUCCAUCAUCCUUUCCUCACUGGGACAAUGCUCUAAAAAUGAUGAUCAUCACACUUUUAUUUUCUUACAACUCAACAAUUACAACUCGAUUCUUAGAACAAAAUAUGACUCUAUAUGAAUGCCUCUGGCAGUGUACCGGGAUAUGCAAUGAAUCAAGAGCGACAUGUAUGAAAGAAUUAUGAAUGGUGGCUUUGCCACAAAUACGAUGUCAACUACAUGAUCAUGCUAGCAUAUGACAAUGAUGGAGCGUGUCAUAAGAACGGAACGAUGGAAAGUUGCAUGGCAAUAUAUCUCGGAAUGGCUAUGGAAAUGCCAUGAUAGGUAGGUAUGGUGGCUGUUUUGAGGAAGGUAUGGUGGGUGUAUGAUACCGGCGAAAAGUGCGCGGUAUUAGAGAGGCUAGCAAUGGUGGAAGGAAGAAAAGUGCGUAUAAUGCAUGGACUCAACAUUAGUCAUGAAGAACUCAUAUACUUAUUGCAAAAAUCUAGAAGUUAUCAAAGCAAAGUAUUACGCACAUGCUCCUAGGGGGAUAGAUUGGUAGGAAAAGACCAUCGCUCGUCCCCGACCACCACUCAUAAGGAAGACAAUCAAUAAAUAAAUCAUGCUCCGAGUUCAUCACAUAACGGUUCACCAUAUGUGCAUGCUACGGGAAUCACAAACUUUAACACAAGUAUCUCUCAAAUUCGCAACUACUCAACUAGCAUGACUCUAAUAUCACCAUCUUCAUAUCUCAAAACAAUCAUCAAGCAUCAAACUUCUCUUAGUGUUCAACACACUCAUAAGAAUUUUUACUAAUCUUGAAUACCAAGCAUAUUAAUAUUAAGCAAAUUACCAUGCUAUUAAUGACUCUCAAAAUAAUCUAAGUGAAGCAUGAGAGAUCAAUAGUUUCUAUAAAACAAAUCCACCACCAUGCUCUAAAAGAUAUAAGUGAAGCACUAGAGCAAACAACAAACUACUCCAAAAAAUAUAAGUGAAGAUCAAUGAGUAGUGAAAUAAUUAUGCAACUAUGUGAAGACUCUCCCAUUUAAUAAUUUCAGAUCUUAGUAUUUUAUUCAAACAUCAAGCAAAGCUAAAUAAAAUAAAAUGACGCUCCAAGCAAAACACAUAUCAUGUGGUGAAUAAAAAUAUAGCUCCAAGUAAAGUUACCGAUGAACGAAGACGAAAGAGGGGAUGCCUUCCGGGGCAUCCCCAAGCUUAGACACUUGGUUAUCCUUGAAUAUUACCUUGGGGUGCCUUGGUCAUCCCCAAGCUUAAGCUCUUGCCACUCCUUAUUCCAUAGUCCAUCGAAUCUUUACCCAAAACUUGAAAACUUCACAACACAAAAACUUAAUAGAAAACUCGUGAGCUCCUGUAGCGAAAGAAAACAAAACACCACUUCAUGGUACUUUAAUGAACUCAUUCUUUAUUUAUAUUGGUGUUAAACCUACUAUAUUCCAACUUCUCUAUGGUUUAUAAACUAUUUUACUAGCCAUAGAGUCAUCAAAAUAAGCAAACAACACAAUGAAAACAGAAUCUGUCAAAAACAGAACAGUCUGUAGUAAUCUGUAACUAACGCAAACUUCUGGAACUCUAAAAAUUCUAAAAUAAAUUGGUGGAUAUGAGGAAUGUGUCUAGUAAUCAUCUGCAAAAAGAAUCAACUAAAUAUCACUCUCCAGUAAAAAGUUCUAGCUAAUCUCGUGAGCGCUAAAGUUUCUGUUUUUUACAGCAUGAUCAUAAAGACUUCACCCAAGUCUUCCCAAAGGUUCUACUUGGCACAAACACUAAUUAAAACACAAAAACACAACAUAAGCUAGAUGGAUUAUUUAUUCCUAAACGGAACCAAAAAGCAAGAAACUAAAAUUAAAUUGGGUUGCCUCCCAACAAGCGCUAACGUUUAACACCCCUACCUAGGCAUGACGAUUUCAAUGAUGCUCACAUAAAAGAUAGGAAUUGAAGCAUAAAGAGAGCAUCAUGAAGAAUAUGACUAGCACAUUUAAGUCUAACCCACUUCCUAUGCAUAGGGAUUUUGUGAGCAAACAACUUAUGGGAACAAUAAUCAACUAGCAUAGGAAGGCAAAACAAGCAUAACUUCAAAACUUUAAGCACAUAGAGAGGAAACUUGAUAUUAUUGCAAUUCCUACAAGCAUAUAUUCCUCCAUCAUAAUAAUUUUCAGUAGCAUCAUGAAUUAAUUCAACAAUAUAACCAGCACCUAAAGCAUUCUUUUCAUGAUCUACAAGCAUAGAAAAUUUACUACUCUCCACAUAAGCAAAUUUCUUCUCAUGAAUAGUGGGAGUAUCGCAAGAGACUUGAAUACUAUAAAUUGUUUCCACAUUAAAAGAGUAAUGUUCAGAGAAAGGGUACUCAUAAUCAUGACAAGUUUUAUAAAUAUAAUCAUCAUUACUCUUUAUAACAUAAGUUAUAUCACAAUAAUCAUCAUAAGUAGCAACUUUGUUCUCAUCAUAAUCGAUUGAAACCUCUUCCGAAAUAGUGGAUACAUCACUAAAUAAAGUCAUGACCUCUCCAAAUCCACUUUCAUAAAUAUUAUAAGAUUCAACAUACUCCAAAAUAGUGGGAUCAUUAUCUCCUAAAGUUUACACUCUUCCAAACCCACUUUCAUAAAUAUAAUCAUCAUAGGUAAAAGGCAUGCUAUCAUCAUAACUACUUUGCAUAUCAAAACUUGAGAGGCUAAAAAUAUCAUCAUUAUUAAACAUAGCAUCCCCAAGCUUGGGACAAACAUUAAUUACAGAAAAUAUAUUCUAAAAUAUAUCAUCCUCAUCAAACAUAGCUUCCCCAAGCUUGGGCCUUUUCGUAUCAUAAGCAUAAUCACUCUCAUCAUUAAUAGUAUGGAUAGCACCAAUAGUAUAGCAAACAUUAUUAUCAUAUUUUUCCAAGCAAGUGCCAAAAAGAUUUUCAAGAUCAUAAGAAGUAUCAUUAUCUUCCCAAUCAUAAUCAUCACAACAAGCAAUAGGCAUAACGAGAUCAUCAUCAAGUGUAUCAUCUUCAUUUUCAUGAGGCACAUCAAUAAUAGGAGCAACUUUAUUUGGGAGAGAUACCUUUUUACCUCUCUUCCGUUUUCUUUUAUUCUUCUUCACCACAUCAUGUGUGGGUUCAAUCCUCUUUUUGGAGCUCCUUAUUAAUGAGAUUGGUUGAAAAGAAGGCUCCUCCUCGUUACCUGAUUCAUCAUAAGAAAUAAUAGGAGGAUAUUGGGAAGUCUCUUCCCUUUCAUUAGCAUUCUCUUCAUCUUCUAUUUGUUUUCUUUUCUUUAUGUGAUUGGCAAUAUAAGUAUUUUCAAUGCAAUUCACCGCACAAUACAUAUAAAUCUUUUCUAGAUCAAAAUCAAGAAUUUUAUCAAGACUAAAUUUGGGAAUACCCUCAGUUAUACGUUUCAUUUCUUCAUAAUCCAAAAGAAGGCUAAGUUCUUUAUGAUGCUCAAGGGUAAUCAAAUUAUCACAAUAUUUGGACACAACUUGAUCAUGAAACAAAUAGCAUUGGAGCUUUAAAUGACCAUGUUCAUUGCAAAGUUCACAAGGGGCACGAAAAAUAUUGAAUCUUUCAGCACAUUCAUCUAGCUCUUCUUGCAACAAUUUGGUUUCUAAGUACUUAUGCCUCUUGCAAUAUCUAUCUUCCCUAUUUGGUGUGUACUUGCAAACCCAAUUUACUCCACAAAAAUUGACAUGUUUAUAGGAGGCAUUUUCAUCAUAACUAGUGCAAUCAUCAUUAGUACUAUGGAUAUUCAAGGAGUUCAUACUAACAACAUUGCAAUCAUGCUAAUCAUUCAAAGAUUUAGUGCCAAACAAUUUAAUGCAUUCUUCUUCUAAUACUUUAGCACAAUUUUCCUUUCCAUCAUACUCACGAAAGAUAUUAAAAAGAUGAAGCGUAUGAGUCAAACUCAAUUCCAUUUUUUUGUAGUUUUCUUUUAUAAACUAAACUAGUGAUACAACAAGAAACAAAAAGAUUCGAUUGCAAGAUCUAAAGAUAUACCUUCACUUACCUAGCCUCCCCGGCAACGGCGCUAGAAAAGAGCUUGAUGUCUACUACACAACCUUCUUCUUGUAGACGUUGUUGGGCCUGCAAGUGCACAGGUUUGUAGGACAGUAGCAAAUUUCCCUCAAGUGAAUGACCUAAGGUUUAUCAAUCCGUGGGAGGCAUAGGAUGAAGAUGGUCUCUCUCAAGCAACCCUGCAACCAAAUAACAAAGAGUCUCUUGUGUCCCCAACACACCCAGUACAAUGGUAAAUUGUAUAGGUGCCCUAGUUCGGCGAAGAGAUGGUUAUACAAGUGCAAUAUAGAUGGUAGAUAUAGGUUUUUGUAAUCUGAAAAUAUAAAAACAGCAAGGUAACAAGUGAUAAACAUGCUGUAAUGAUAGGAAACAAGGCCUAGGGUUCAUACUUUCGCUAGUGCAAGUUCUCUCAACAAUAAUAACCUAGAUAGAUCAUAUAACAAUCCCUCAACAUGCAACAAAGAGUCACUCCAAAGUCACUAAUAGUGGAGAACAAAUGAAGAGAUUAUGGUAGGGUACGAAACCACCUCAAAGUUAUUCUUUCCAAUCAAUCUGGUGGGCUAUUCCUAUAAGUGUCACAAACAACCCUAGAGUUCGUACUAGAAUAACACCUUAAGAUACAAAUCAACCAAAACCCUAAUGUCACUUAGAUACUCCAUUGUCACCUCAAGUAUCCGUGGGUAUGAUUAUACGAUAUGCAUCACACAAUCUCAAUUCAUCUAUUCAACCAACACAUAGAACCUCAAAGAGUGCCCCAAAGUUUCUACCGAAGAAUCACGACGAAAACGUGUGCCAACCCCUAUGCAUAGGUUCAUGGGCGGAACCCGCAAGUUGGUCACCAAAACAUACAUCAAGUGGCACGUGAUAUACCAUUGCCACCACAGAUACGCACGGCAAGACAUACAUCAAGUGUUCUCAAAUCUUUAAAGACUCAAUCCGAUAAGAUUACUUCAAGGGGAAAACUCAAUUCAUUACAAGAGAGUAGAGGGGGAGAAGAAACAUAAGAUCCAACUAUAAUAACAAAGCUCGCGAUACAUCAAGAUCAUGCCAAAUCAAGAACACGAGAGAGAGAGAUCAAACACAUAGCUACUGGUACAUACCCUCAGCCCCGAGGGUGAACUACUCCCUCCUCAUCAUGGAGAGUGCCGGGAUGAUGAAGAUGGCCACCGGUGAUGGUUCCCCCCUUCGGCAGAGUGCCGGAACAGGGUCCCGAUUGGUUUUUGGUGGCUCUGGAGGUUUUGUGGCGGCGGAACUCCCGAUCUAUCUUCUCUUCUGGAAGUUUUAGGGUACGUAGGUAUAUAUGGAAAGGAGUAUGUCGGUGGACCGAAGGGGGGGGGCACGAGGCAGGGGGCGCGCCCCAGGGGGUGGGCGCGCCCCCACUCUCGUGAGCACCUCCCUUCUUUCCUGGCGUGCGCUCCAAGUCCAUCGGGUGGCUUUCCUUCCAAAAAUAACUUCUCCAGUUGAUUUCAUUCCAGUUUGACUCCGUCUGGUAUUCCUUUUCCUCGAAAUACUGAAAUAGGCAUAAAACAACAAAUCUGGGCUGGGCCUCCGGUUAAUAGGUUAGUCCCAAAAGUAAUAUAAAAGUGGAUAAUAAAGCCCAAUAUUGCCCAAAACAGUAGAUAACAUAGCAUGGAGCAAUCAAAAAGUAUAGAUACGUUGGAGACGUAUCAACUGGCUAUCAAACUUGGCAUGGUGGAGGAUGGCCUAUCUUAUUCACCCAUCAAGGUGCUUGCUCUAACUUUGCAAAGUUGUAUUGGUCGCACAUAUUUUGCAUCUGACCUCUUGCAUUAAUUCUACUUUGUUACACCAUCUGCUUAGUUUAAGCAUCAUAUAUGAGUAUAUGCCAUACCUAUCCAUUUUCUGUACCUAUUCAUGUGUCGUCACACUAUGUUUUUCCAGUCAGAUGUUGUUCUUUCGUAAUAGGUGUCCAAAAGGAAGAGGGUGAGUGCAGGUCGUUAAGGAGUACAAACUAGGUAUUUGGAAAAGGUAGUGAUACCUGUUAAAUCAGAUAGAUCAGCAGCCACAGAAAACACAGGCCCAACUGUACCACACUUUGCCCCUACUCUAGUGGCCAAACCCCUAUUAGAACUGCUGGGAGCCCAGCGUCAGGUACUGUCUAUGAUAUCAAUUCAAAAUUUGAACUCCUAAAUUUCUGCUUGUGCCUUACCUUCUCUCUUGUAUGAAAACUAAUUUCAGAUGAAUCUCCUUGCUCAAAGGAUCAUACGAUCUCAAAAAAUAAUGGCCUCUGCAUUGCUCUUGUCAGUACCUCUCUCCCUUUUGCCUUGUAAUGCUGUACUUAAUUAAUUGCUAUUUCAUUAUGUAUCAUCAGUCUGCACCUGAGCUUCAUUAUCCUCUGUUUCUUCUAAUAUUAUUUGAUCUAUAUUUACUCUUUGUAAAAUGUAGAAUAAUGGCAACGCUUAUAAAGAAUUUUCUUUGGGGAAUUUAUUGAAUUAUCCUUCCAUCAACAUGGAGAAGGGCUUUGUCCAGCCCGUGUUAACAUGUAAUGUAAGUUCAUCCUUCUCAAGCCUUCAAACUUUGUUCUAGUAUAGAUUAGGAUAGGCAUCAUUUCCUCCGCUGCUGUUUGCUUUGCUGUUUACAUUUGAUUGGAUGUUUGCAACAACUACCAGUUUCAAAUUGUAGUUGUAAAAACAUGUUCCUUAUGCAGAACAUAUCCAUUUAUUUGCUUAUAUAAUUGUGAAACCUGUUACGUGUCUCCUUGUUUCUCUUUCAGACUUGUAUCUCUUACGCCAAACAGAACUUUAGGGAAGAUAAGUGAGCCAACCAUUUUGAGGACAGUGAGAUGACCCCAAGGUCCUGUCUUGAUGAAGACAGUGAGUUGAAGAUACUCACCUGCAGGUGUGAGACAACCUCUGUGCAGUCGCUGCCUCAAUCAGUUCGACUUCUUCAGUCUCAACUUAAAGUGGAAAGGCUUGCUUCAGCUCAGCUCCGACUUGAAGUCAAAGAUGCAAUGAAGAUGUCAGAGGACUACCGUGCACACCAUCAUGCCUUAAAUCUAGUGUUGAUGCAUCUAUCGUUGACACAACUGAGGUCUACUCAGCUUCUUCAGCUGUUUGGGGGGGCCCGACCUGGCCAGGCCUAGUGCCUUCUGAAGUGCUCUCAGUUUUGUAUAUUCUUUUGUCGGCGCGUUUAUUUGCACUGGUGGCGAACUUUGAUGCCCAGUGGAUGUAAUAUGUGUGAUAGCCGUGAUAGCCUAGCAUAAGUUGCUUGCUUAUUUAUUUCCUUGUUGUCUUGUUUAUUUGUUUGCUUCUAGUCAUUGCAGUUCUUUUUCCGUGGUUUGCUAGUGGCUGCAUUAACCUAUUUUUUAAAACUAGGCCACAAUAACCAUGGGCUAAUAUUUACUGUAGUGACAUUGGGCCUCCUACGGGCCGUAGAAACAGUGGGCCUUCUACGGGCAGUAGAAACAAUGGGCCUUCUACGGGCCAUAGAAACAAUGGGACUUCUACGGGCCUAUCAUCAAUGGGCCUUAUACGGGCAGUAUGAUCGAUGGCCAAACAUGGGCCAAUAACAGGCCGCAUUAUGGCUGUAAACGGGCUAGAGUUGGAAUCGUCCGUUCAUGGGCCGACCAUAACGGGCCAUCGUUAAUAGGCCGUAUUUGAUGACGAUAUGAAAACGACCCAACGAAUUAACGAACCACAAACGGGCCGACUGUAACCACGGGCUGAAUUUGGCCCACAAGCAGAAAAUGACAGUAAUGGGCCGUAAGUAAAUGAAUGCUGGAAAUGAGCCCAAGAAUAAAUGGGCUCUGAGAAGGCCGAAAGAUAACAUGGGCUGGAAAUGGCCCAACGGAAUAACGGGCCGUUAAUGGGUAUAAAGUGAUACACUGUUCAUCACGGGCCAGUUUCACCACGGGCCGUUAAUGGGUGUAAAGUGAUACACUGUUCAUUACGGGCCAGUUUCACCACGGGCCGUUAGUAGGCCAAGAGUUACAUAGGGCCUCAUAUGGGCCGAAAGACGUCAUGGGCCAUACAUGGGCCAGAAGUGAAAACGGGCUGGAAUCAUAUUGGAUGGCCCAGAUGACGCUACUGGGCCUAAUUCGGAUAGGGCGUAACGGGCCUUGGGUUAGCGGCUGUAAAUGGGCUAUAUUAGAACAUGCCGUUAACAGGCUUUCCAUGGGCCGGCCCGCCAGCUUUUGACCAAGUCAAAUGGGCCGGCCUUUACACAGGAAUGGGCCUCUAUUGGGCCGUGCCACGUUGAAAGUGCAACUAUCCCUAGGUGGUUUUAGUAAUUAAUAACAACAUAUAGCUCAUUGAGCUAAUACUAUUCCAAGACUAUUAUUUCAGGAAAGCUCAAUGAAUGGCAUGGCAUGGAUGAUGAAAGUGGAUCCCUCAAAAUACUAAGGACAAAGGAUUGGCUCAAGCUCAAAAGCUCAAGACUAUUCAUUUUACAUUUUAGUGAUCCAAGAUCACAUUGAGUCCAUAGGAAAAGCCAAUACUAUCAAGGAGGGAUGAGGUGUUGCUUAAUGAGCCUCUUGCUUCAUGUGCUUAGUGAUAUGCUCCAAAACCCUCAACUACUUUCCCACAUCCACAAAUGACCCAAACCCAAAGCCAAAAUCAGUCACACCGAAACUUCCUAUCCGGCGCCACCGAUUCCAAAAGUCAUAGCCACUGCCACAAACCCUAAGCAAAUCGGCCUUACCGAUAGGGAUCUUGGUCUCACCGAGAUGGGGUUGCAAUCUCUCUGUUUCCCUUCAUAACAUUUCGGUCUAACCGAACUGAGCAAUCGGUCCCACCGAGAUUGCGAUGUAAACUCUCUGUUUCCUUUUUGUAACAUUUCGGUCUCACCCAAAAGAGCAAAUCGGUCCCACCGAGUUUACCUGACCAACUCUCUGGAAAGCUUAUUACCAAGUCGGUCUCACCGAGUUUGUGUAAUCGGUCCUACCGAGAUUACGUUAUGCCCUAACCCUAACCGAAUCGGUCUCACCGAGAUGCAUGUCGGUCCCACCGAAAUUCACUAAUGGUCACUAGGUUUACUAAAUCGGUUCGACCGAGUUUAACUCUUCGGUCCCACCGAGUUUGGUAAAUUGUGUGUAACGGUUAGAUUUUGUGUGGAGGCUAUAUAUACCCCUCCACCUCCUCUUCAUUCGUGGAGAGAGCCAUCAGAACGAACCUACACUUCCAGCUUACCAUUUCUAAGAGAGAACCACCUACUCAUGUGUUGAGGCCAAGAUAUUCCAUUCCUACCAUAUGAAUCUUGAUCUCUAGCCUUCCCCAAGUUGCUUUCCACUCAAAUCUUCUUUCCACCAGAUCCAAACCCAUUGAGAGAGAGUUGAGUGUUGGGGAGACUAUCAUUUGAAGCACAAGAGCAAGGAGUUCAUCAUCAACGCACCAUUUGUUACUUCUUGGAGAGUGGUGUCUCCUAGAUUGGCUAGAUGUCACUUGGGAGCCUCUGACAAGAUUGUGGAGUUGAACUAAGGAGUUUGUAUGGGCAAGGAGAUCGCCUACUUCGUGAAGAUCUACCGCUAGUGAGGCAAGUCCUUCGUGGGCGACGGCCAUGGUGGUAUAGACAAGGUUGCUUCUUCGUGGACCCUUCGUGGGUGGAGCCCUCCGUGGACUCGCGCAUCCAUUACCCUUCGUGGGUUGAAGUCUCCAUCAACAUGGAUGUACGAUAGCACCACCUAUCGGAACCACGCCAAAAACAUCCGUGUCUCCAAUUGCGUUUGAAUCCUCCAAACCCUUCCCUUUACUUUCUUGCAAGUUGCAUGCUCUAAUUUCCGCUGCCUAUAUACUCUUUGCAUGCUUGCUUGAAUUGUGUGAUGAUUGCUUGACUUGUCCUAAAGUAGCUAAAAUCUGCCAAACUCUAAAAUUGGGAAAAGGUUAAGUUUUUAUUGGUCAAGUAUUCUAAUCACCCCCGCCUCUAGACAUACUUCAAGGUCCUACACACGUGUCGACGUAUCAUAGGCGCCUAUCUGACCCACUGACGAGCUGACACGUGUUUCGUCCGGCCAAUAAGAAUUUUACACAUGGAAAUUUCUCAUUGGUCGGGGCUGUUAACGGGUUAUCGGAUCCAAAACCCAACCCGAUAGCUUAACAGCGUUCCGUUAUGGUGGAUGCCACGUGUCGGUCACCCUUGACGAAAGCACUUCUGUGACGCGCGAUUUAUUGUCAUGGAAGUGGACACUUCCGUGAUGAUAAUUUUGGUAAUGUCAUGGAACACUUCUACGACAACACAGGUAUGACUAUCUUGAUUCUGUCAUAAAUUUGUCAUGGAUGUACAUGCAUGACAAAAAAAGCGACCUACUGUGACAAACACGUAUCAUCACAGAAGUGUAUUUUUUUGUAGUGUCCAUAACUUCCUGAAAGUUUGAACUUGUAGAUUAGUGUACCAGAUAAGUUACUAAUGAGACAAAAACAAACAAAGUAGGUUAAACGUUUAUACGUAACUUAUUUUGGUGAACUACUGUAAUACAUUAGAAUGUAUUGUAGUGCCAACUACAUAAUAAAAUCACUUUCAGAACAUAUGUCCAUGUAGCAUGCCUACUGUAAGAUCUAUUUCCUCACAUUCGUUGACAUCUAAGGAUAAAGAGACAUGGUUUAAAGUAGGAUGAACAUAGUAUGACAUCAUUCAUAUCAUGGGCAAACAGAUAUAAAACAAACAGGCUAUUUUAUCAUUGUGUGCACACGUCAACAUAACAACUAGAUUACAGAUCAAGACCAAAAGAAUAUCCUUCAUCUCUUUUAAACCAUGUAACGUGAAAUGAUACGUUAAGACAACUGUGAAUAAAAAUGAAAAGAGUAACUAACAUUGGCUGCAAACCAAGUAGUUAAAUGAACACAUCACAGUACCAAUCAGUUCAAGGCAGGAGGAGUAAGGACUUACAACAGCGGCUUGAACUGGUGUUCUCAUGCCCUUCAUCUUGCUGGUGUGGCAAUCCUUGAAGAUUUGCACUGCAUUCGGUUCGGGUUCUUUUUGGUCCGCACGGGAUUUCCUCUGUAUUUGGAACAAGUCAAUAUAGAUACGAUAAUAUGGCACAAAAAAAGAAGGAAGUAGCAGCUAUUUACAAGAGCCUCGCAGUGUGCAAUAUAGCUACGAGAUCCUGUGGUCUAUUGGAAUUUCACUUUAGAACGGUUGGUUUUGUUCUUCAAACAGUUAGCCUAGAAGAAGAUACUCUUGUAAGGAACAUACAUAAAUACAAGUUCAAUAUGUGGUAUGAUCAAAUACAUAUAGCCUACCUGAUACUUUGGAUCAGACCAGUGUUUAACGAGGGCUGCCCAGUCUUCAUCUGUAAUAUAUUCCACUGGAGAUGUUUGGGUGAUUUCAUUGUUAGCCUUGCCUUCAAAGUGAGAUUUUCUAAGGUGGUACCGAUACUGUCGCAGAGCAGACUGAAAAACAUGAGUGCAUGCUUGUCUAGUUGCAUCAUCUUUCGGAUCCAACUUGAACCUCAUCUGUUGAAAAAAGAAUGUGAGUCUUAUUAGGAGGAAGCUAGAAAGUAUGGGACAGAGCAAGACAAUAUUACUAAUUGCGAUGAAUAACAUUACUUACGGAUAAAUGGUCAAGGAAGGUGUUAAACUGGGUAUUGUCUUUCUCAUUCCUGUACUGGAUCCACGUUGGGAGGAUAUGUGCAUGACACCUAACGGCAACGGCUGCCUCUGAUACUAACUUGGCUGACACUGUAGCAUCACGAGGCCUUUCUAAACCUGCCUCAAAAUGGAUCUCCAUUCUUCCUCCUUUAGAUUUUGUUAAUCUGUCAAGCAUUAUCCCUGACGUCUGUUUCCGCUUGCGCCGUGGUGCUAGUUCAACAACGAAUAUGGAAAGUGUUAGUGUACAUCAAACUGUGAGAGUACAUAUAAAUGAGCAUGCAACUGCAACUUGACUCGGUCAGGUACCAUCUUGGUGUUGAUGCUCAUGAGGUUCAUCUGAUCUUGCCAAGUCCUGUUGUGUCAGCAGUGCUUCGGAAGUAGUGUUAGGUGUGAAGGCAGCUUGGGAACUGGCCAGUUCCGGAGCAAACGAACGAGUAACUGGUUGAGAUGCUGGUACAAUUGAAGCGGAUGCUGCAGCUGGUGGAGCAGGUGAUACUGUGUUUGUAGAUUUAGCCGGUGGACUUGGACCUUCUACUGCACUAUAAGUACCAGCAGUAUCUCGACGGCAGAACCUUUUCCGUUUCAUCGGACGAGUAACAACACUCCCUACUAUAUUAUUUUCCUUGCUCCUUUUUGACUUUGCCAUGUCAAGCUAUACCCACAACACAAAAGAAUAAAAUCACUCUUCAGAACUCAUUGAUGCAUGAUACAGACAAGCAAUACUUUGAUGUAAGACAACCGUAUGAGGAUGGAAAAUGUAAGAAAAACAUGACGGCAUGACAUAUUCAUAGCUACGAUGUGCAAACUAAGCAGAAGGAUUUUCAAGAAAAUAGAAGUAAUGCAAGCUAGACACCAUAUGAAAGAUGCAACCAAUAUUACUUUGCCAAGUUAAAAGUGUCUUGUCAUAAGUGGCAAUUCGAAAAAUUAGAAGCAGUACAACAUAGAAUGAUGCAACUAUCAAACUGCCAUGUUAAAAGCGUCCAAUCAUGAGUGACUGAUGCGGGAUACACAACAACAGUACUUUGAUGUAAGAACAUGGUAUUAUAGAUAGAUGCAGUGCAUUCUAGACACAGAAAGCCAUCUCAUAUGCACAUGUAUAACGUAUAAACUCAGCAGGUGCAAUUUAAUCAAAAUACAAGAAAUACAGGCUAGACAACAUAUGCAACAUGAAACCAAUUAUCACACUGUCAACUUAGAGCAAGCACCUGCGAUGGUGGAGUACGGGAGAUGAACUCAUCAUGUAGACUUGGGACUUCAACUUCAUUAGCAGUAGCAGUGGCAAAUCUAGAGAGUCUCUGUUUGCGUCGAUGCGGAGGACCACCAACAUCCCCUAACUUACUCUUUUCCUUCCUAUUUUCUGAUAUUGCCUUAUGAAGUCAAAACCACAAGAAGAUGAAUAAAAUUAGCUCCGCAUAACUGGUUGAUGCAUGAUACAGACACACACUACUUUGAUGUAAGG
rnacentral:lncRNA from 1 species